UUUCGAUUUAUUUUUUUUUUUUUUUUUUUUUUUUUUUUUUGAGUUUGUGGGUUAUGAAUUCAAGGACACCCUUUUCAAUAGUUAAAAUUGGAUGAUUUUUUAUUUUAAUUUUGCACUAAAUUUUAUAUUUUGAUCUAUUAUGUGGAAUGGCAGUCAUAAGCAUUUACAAGUUUAUUCAAAAUGAUCACAUUAUUUUUGUAUGAAUAAAGAACGAAUGGUUUUUAUCUUAAACUUGGAAUGGUUUUUAUCUUAAACUUGAAAGUUAUAUUUGUGAUUGUUCCUAAUUUUAAUUUACUGAUAUAGCCCAUGAAUUUAUGUUUCGUUCCAUAAUUAUUUGAUUUUUUUAAAUUGAGUUUACUUUUCAAAUUUUUAUCAUGAUUUUUAACUUUCUCUAAAUCUUAAUCAAAUUUAAAAAACAAAAGAAAUUAUCAUGUUGUUUAAUUUUAAAAAUAUUACCAUACCAAUGCAAAAAUAGUGUCCGAACAAUCUCACACGACAACUCGCUUAACCUUAUAAUAUUUUGGUCUCAAAGUAAAUAGCUACAAUGGAUUGAAUCCAUGACAUCUUUAUUGAGACUCCUUUUUUUACCACUAGGCCAACCUAUUAGGAUUUAGAAAGAAAAAAAAAAUAGUUAUUUGAAUGAGCUUUUGAUCAUCUAUGAUCUAUUCGUAUAUUUUGUUAGAAAAUAUGUAAAUGAUAAAAAAUUUAGAAAUAUUUAUCCAACAUAUAGCAAAAUUUCAAACUCUAUUAAUAAUAGAAACUCUAUUUUGUAAAUUAUUAUUAUUACUAUUAUUAUUAUAUUUAAAGAUAGACAUUUAUCCUGUAGAGCAUAAUUUUGAAUUUUAAAAUUUGGCUCAAUAGAUUUUUUAGUGUUCAAAUGACGAAUUUUCUCAACAAUAGAUGUAAGUUAAAGUUUGAAGAAUCUCUAAACUUUCAGAAAAAAGAUAAACGACCAGUUAUUUCUUACAUAAAUUGUAUAAAGAUUCAAAAAGAAUGGUUGAUCAUAGCUAAACAAACAUAUUAACGUCAAUUAUUUAUGAUUGAAUGUAUAAUAUACAUGCAACCUAAAAAAGGGAAAAACUUGUAGACCAUGGAGAGGCCUAGAUCUUAUUGCUAUGCUAUAGGCAUGGCUAAAUUGACAGAAAUUGGCUUUUCAUGUGUUCAUCUUGAGGAGAAGAAAAAAAGAAAAAACAAGAAACUGUAAAUUUUUCAAACAUUCUUCAUUAUAAAUCAAGUCAGGGAGAGGCCUUGACAUUCAUCCAAUACAAACUGAACCAUUCAACAAAAACCAGCUUAUUAGUAAAUUGUUACGAGUUUGUUUGUCAAAAUACUAGGACUUCAAUACUGAUAAUUUAGCAUAGUCUUUGCUUCCUUCAAUUCUAACUUUUUGGUCACUCAUAUUCAGAGACCAAAAGGUUGGUGCAAGCCUUUCAAAUGGCAUUGUUCAUGGCGCUAUAAAGAUCAGGAAUACAACAACUUACAGCGUUACCUUUGGAAUAUGGAUACUUCAUAUACAUAGUACUGAGAAUUUUAAGAUCUGUACACCAACCUUUUCUUGCGCCAAGCAUGACUUUUCGUAUGCAGCUCUGAUUCCAUGUGAUCCUUCAAAAUAUCGGAUUAAGGAAAUCGACCUUGAGUGAUGAUUAAGGACUUUUCCUGAAAGAAAUAAAAGAGUAAAAUGCUUGAGGCCAAGGUAUUUGCAACCACUGAAAAACUAAGAAACAAUGUAGUUUGAGAAUAGUAAAAGGUUUGAAGUCAAUACCAGAAAGGAUUGCACAAGAUUUAUUUAUGUUGAUUUGUUCCAUGUAGUUUGUUGGUAUCAUGCUAAACGAACGUCUGCUGUUUGUACCGAUUGUUGAAACAGAUAGAGCCAGAUCUGUUCUUAGGAAGAAAAGUUCUUCCAAAAUUGAAGUCUUCAGCUCCAAUCAUGUAUCUAUUUCCUGCUUCAGGCAAGCUAAAAUCAGCAGGAUUUUUGUUGACACAACAUAUUUCAGUCUCAGAAGUGCUUUUCUCGUUUUGCAGAGUUCGAGUAUGAGCUACCAAUUUGCAUUCCUCAGAGUUUCUUUUCAUGUGAUGCGCCAACACAAACACUUCGGAAUUAGAUGCAUUUACCAGACCUUUCUCUAUGCCAUUAACAGGAAAUGUUCUAUCAUCACCACUUAUGAAAUGAGACUUCGAUAGCUUUUGGUCUUUGCUCCAAGAAGAUGAAUCUGAGCAUUUCAUUUUUGCUCCAUUUUGAGACCUAAAGACGGCCUGGCUGGAAAAAUUGGUACCGCUUCCAAAUCCUCUACUAUGCUGGAAGGUACUAGUGGAUGCAUUGGUAGCAGAACUACAAACUUCGUCAUGGAAAGCAGAUGAAAAUUGGCUCAUGUCCUGGAUGGUCUUAUUGAAACAAAUGUCGGUUGCAGAAAAUUCUUCAGCUUUUUGAGUACGAGGAACAGGAGGUUUCUUAGAUGGUCUAUGCUUCUCACCUGCAGUCGUGGGUGCAUUAGAUUGCAUUCUGGCAUCCAUGAGGCUAAGCAAGUGCAUUGCCGAUAUAGCUUCGUUAGAGUACAACUCCAGUGAGCCAACUGGAUUAUGCUGAAGCUCAACCACAUUAGGAUGGCGACAAAAUGAACUCUCUGCAAAUCUCUGGCUGUAUGCUUCAGUACUUUUUUGCCUGCCGUGCCUUUCUAGGUUGGUAGGGUGAUGAUUAUGAUGAUUCUGGGCAUUUGUGUUUCCCAUCUGAAAUGUUCUCGGACUUGAGAUUUUUCUACUGUCGGUCGAAUGAGCUGGAAAGUUCUGAUAUCCAUUGGACAUAUGAUCUGGCAUCAAAGAAGAAGUAGACCAUAAGUACGCUGCUUCUAUAUUCUGUUCUGAAACGGGUAAAUGAUCUAUGCAUCCUUCAGAAUAUUGUACUUUGGAGUUGUAGGGACCUGAUUCCACUGUGGUUCCAUUACAUUUUCUAAUCUCUGAACGAAUUUUUCUUUUAGAUCCAAUGGAAGAAUAUUGCAUACCAUUUGAUGGUUCUUCUAAAGAAUGAAUCGAAUCAUUACACCUGAGCAUAUGAUUCUGCUGCAGAUGGCUAAUACCAAAUUGAGAUUCCCCAAUAUUUGAGAAAUAAUUUGCUGGUGUAUGUGUCCUGGCUUCCACAACUUCUCUCGCACAAAUCAAACCAUUUCCUCCAUUCCUUUCUUGAGCAUUUUGUUUCAGAUUUCCAGGCUUUUGUAAUAAUUCUCUCCCAUUUCUAUAUACAUAGUCAUAAUUAUUUACUUGAACGGCCCUUGAGAAUUUUCCUGUUUCUGAAACAUGUUUAUAAUUAUUCUCAGCAUCAGGAAGACGUCUUUCAUACUGAUUCUUUGCCAUUAGUUCGACGAUUUCCAUGGGGAUAUCAUCGGAAGUCCCACGGUCAGAUGGCUGGUCCGUUCUCUGGUUAAUCUGUCUCUUCUUUAGAGCCAAAGGUUCCUGAGCUUCAAUAGUUCUUUUACCAUUGCCUCUUCUGAGUAAAUCCUGUUCAUAAAUUUUAUACGAGAAAUGGAAGUCUGUGAAGACUACGGACAUAUACACAAAAUGAAAAAUAAAGGACAAAGUGGGGGAACGAUUCAUAAUUUAGCAUAAUUAAGUAAUCUGUGAUAGCUCAUUAAAUAGCCUACCCAACACAAAUUCAAUAAAUAUAAUGAAUGUAGAUUCUUCUUUUGCAAGUUGGAAACACAUCUUCGAAUCCCUCUCUUCUUUUGCCCGGAGAAUAGAUUUGUUUCUUUGCUUUAUUGGUUUUGCUCAGCUUUUUUCACUUCUUGUUGACUCCAGAGAAAAUAUAUUUUCACUUCCCUUUUCUUGGAGGUGGGGAAGAGCUAAGGAGGGAGUACUGGAUUAUCACUUCCUUAGAGGCAUAUAUGUGCCGCUUUGCGGCUAUGAUUUUAUGACAGUUAAUUCAACAAGCAUUUAUUUUACAAAAUCAACAGGUAUAUGUAUUUAAUACAAACAGAUACGAAAUCCAGCUUCCAAAGAUGGUCUACUUUGCAUAUAACAUACUUGCUUUAUAGACUUACAAAUUUAUAAUAUAUGUUCAAAUAGUUCAAAUUAUGCAAACAUUUCCCAAAUCAAAGAAGUCUCACAGGUUGACUUUCCCAAUACCGAUAAUUUGCAAUUACCUCUAACAUAUUUACAUUUGCAUGAAAGUCAUAAUGCAUGUUUAUCAUAAUUUAUGCGAAGUUUGUUUUUUUUUUUCUCUCUGGCAACAACUAUAAAAUGAUUGAAGAGUAUACCUUAUUCUGCAGCUGCGACUGACUAUUAUCUGUUUGAGGGUCUCUUGGAAGAGACAUUUUCAAGUUGGUCAUUUUACUGUUCAUUACAGUAUCCACUCCGUGUCCACAAAUAACAUCUGAAGCUUGAUGAGGGUAAUUUGGAUCUCUAUGACUACCUGUUCUGUUACCAUUCAAUUGACUUACCUUGGAAGUGUCGUCUUGCUCAGGCACAAAAGUAGACAACUCAUUUUCCCCACGACAACGGAUUCCUUUGUGGUCCUUUUGUAGACUGGAAUAGUUAUUGAGAGAAGGAUGCCAUUCUCUUUCAUUUUUUUUGAAAUUUGGAAAAGGAUUAGCUGCAGGAUUACCAUUCAUGGUUUCCACAUCCUUCUGAGUAACUGAACCCCUCCAAAGGAUUCUAUUGUUCCAUGGAACUACAUUAGUGGGCCCUUCAAAAACCACAGGUUCCUUGCUUGAAUUCGGGUUUCCAGAUGUGCCGGGUUUAGAUUCUAUGACGUUCGAUGAUAUUGAGUGUGGAAUUCUGCAAGAAAAUUCAUUGUGAUGUGCAAAGAUAGCAACACUAUCCACUGCAACUUCACUUCUAUUUUCGUUUAUCUCCCAAAUUUCACAUUGAUCUUUAACUUCAGAUGGCGUUAAGGACAUAGAGUAUGGGUCGACUACUGGAAACUUUUUACUUUUCUUCCUUCUUAAACUACUGUUUCCAUCCAUUUUGUAGCUGCACCAUGGGCCCUUCAUGGUACUUUUCAUUCCUGAAGGAGCAUUUUCAGUUCCUAAACAAGAAACAGAGCUUUCUAUCUCGCCCCUCCAUGUUUGAAUUUGCUUAUCCACACUGGAAGAAGAAGGAAUCUCUUGAUGCCUACAUUUUCCAUUCCUAGCCAACCUUCUUUCUCUUUUAUGAUCAGGAUGUGAAGCGUCUUCCUCUAUAGUUACCUGACAUUUGGAAGUAAACCUCACAUCUGCCUGCUCAGAUGCCUCAGGAGACCCAUCGGAUGGAGAACUUUGAUCAACAUGUUUAACUACCAUAUUUCCAUUGUCUCCUAACAAAUCAGUCAAUAGGCGAAUCUUUGGAGUUCUUCGACGAUGUAAUCUUCCUAGAUGGCAAUUAUGAGGACUGUUUCCAACUGUCUCAGCACUUUCAGAUGAUGAAACCGUGCUUUCAUUUGAUUCCAUAGAAGCAUCGCCAUUUCCUUGAACUUUAACAGUAUGAUGCCCAUGGACUACGUCUACCAUAUCGUCCUUCUCUGAUACCAACAAGGUUAACUGUCCAUUUAGACAAUCUGCAGGAGUUUGUUUUCCAUCCUGAAGUGCUGCAAGGCUUUCCUCAGCUGCUUUGAGAGUGAGAUUUCUACUAACAAGCUCAAUCUCAGUAACUCCAUGACUUGCACAACCUGGCUCACUUUGUGAUAUAAGAGCAACUGUUUCAGAUACCAAAAAUAAUCUGAUUAUGGAAAAACACAAAUGCCUGAUUAGGAAAGAAGUACUAUUAUUAGGUACAAAUGUAAAAUUGGAGAAAUAUUUUGCAGCAUAUAUCGAGGAGCUAUAGAUUGUGAUCAACUUCGUAAAGACGAUACUGAGAGAUAACAGAAGCCUUGUCAAAGGGAAAUUCAAGUAGCCACAAUCUUACUAAAGUAGAAUUAUAAAUGCACCGUGAAUCCAUAUGAAACAAUCAUUAGCUAGUCUCAAACAGCAGAGCCAUAAAUCCUUAACAUUGUGCAAAUGAAUAUAUAAGUCGCUAUGAAUCAUCAUAACAAGAGUAUCCAAAAGUCAAUUUAUUGCUUUUGAGUCAGUCUCAUGAUGUGUAUACACAACAAAGACAUGCCAAAAAGAAAAAUAGAAGGGGACAGAAAAGGAAAAAACCUACCAGUGCAGUUAUCUGAUCUAUCUGCAACAUUAAGUUUCUUUUCCUUCUGAUCAUAAUAUGAAUUAGAAACAUUAUCAGCCAUUAUUGUUCUUCCACUGAUUACAUCUUGUUUUGAAGCAUUUGGAGAAGAAUUUGAAAAUUUUCCAAGGUUAUGAUCAAAUAGGAAACCUUGAUCUGCAUCUUUAUCAGAAGUCUCUUGCCAAUGAAUCUUGCCUUGGUACGCGUCGAAACUCGGAUCUAAUACAGAUGGCACCGAGGCUAUAGGCUCAUUCAACUUAUGGCCAUUAUCAAUAAUAUCAGAAAAUGGCGAACAUAUCUUCCAAUCCUUUUUGUGCAUAUCAGACACAUAACCACUGUUACAAGGAUAUCGAAUCAAUAAGGGUAACUAACGCUGUGUGUGUUUCCCUAAAAAGAUACAGCUACAGUACCCAUUAACUUGGAUAAUAAACCGUUUUGAUCAAAAGGUCCUUAUUAUAUAAUUCAUCGACACUUUGAAGUUCAAGCUACGUUGAGUAGUAAAAAGAGACUUAAGUGUCACCUAAUAGUAAUUUGCUUUCUUUUUUUUUUCUUUUUGCAUUCAAUGAUAUCUGGAAAUUCGAACAUUCAACUUCUCGGUAUGAGUUUUAAAUAUUCCUUAACUAGUUAAGUUAUACUUAAGAAAAAUGCUCAUAAAUUUAAAGUGCCCUACUCCCCUCCCCCUUUCCUAAUCUAGCUUCAAUUUAGCUCGUGAAACAACUACAGACUAACGAGCCCCAAAUGUAAUUUGUUUCCCAAUAAUGAUAUGCCCUAAGAGAUACGAUGGAUAGGCUAAAAAUAUGUGAACCUAGUUAAGAUGUUUGAGUGCACUGUUGAUCUCUUUUGUCAAAUAUUUUCAACUUGAACAUGAACAACUUAGUAACUAAGCCAUUUGAAUCAUCUCAAAAUAAGUCUUAAAGACACGCUUACCGGAUGGAGAAAAGUUCACAUUUCUGGUCAUCACAUAUAUGAUCGGAGCUAAAUAGAUCAAUAUAUAUAGAAUCAAUCUGAACAAAAUUUCUUGCAGGCCUGGAAUCAGUCCCAUCAUGAUGAUUAUUCUCUUCCAUCACGUUAAUUCUAUGCAUCAUUAUAUACAAUUCCCCCUUCAAGAAAUGUAAGACUACCUAUAUAUAUGUGUGUCCAAUCAUAUUCAUCAGUUAAUUAUUAUGACAACGAAAAAUAUAUAAUGUAAUUAUAUUUAAAAAAACAAAAAAACAAAACAAAAAGACCUAAAUCUCAGAUUUGGCACAUAAAAUAACAGUCUCCAAAACUGUUGCACGAAACAAAACCCUAAUUUUAAAACAUUUGUAUUAGGAAUAUAUAUACACACAUAUAAAUUAUUAAUUUUUUUUGUUUAAUGGAAACUAAAUAAUUCAUAUGCUAAUUAUAGAACUAGGGUUUUGCGACAUUACAAAUUUAAGAACAAUAUUUAACAAAUCAGCAGAAAUUUCCAAGAGAAAUAUCCAAAACAAUACAUAAAAUAUCCCAAUAAUAAGUGAAUUUAUAUAUUUUUUUAAAAAAAAAAGCAUAAUAAAACACAUGGACGGUGAAAACUGAGCUGAAGUUCCUAAAUAUCUAAGCUCAAAAAGAAGUUAAAACCAUGAGAAUAAAAAUUGAAACAGAUGAAAAACUAAAAUUAAGAGAGAUAAAAAAGGCGAAGAUGUUACCGAAAGCUAUCGGAAAACGGCGUCGUUCGGCGUUAAGUCGGAGCAUCGUUGGAACUGUACGGGAAUUAGACAGUCGCCGAUGAAAGGAAAAUCAUGUUCGAAGCUCAAUGAAAAAUCAUAGGGAGAAGGAGAGAGAAUGAAAAAUAAAAAUAAAAGAAUUUCUCUCUUUUUUCUUUUUCUUUUUUUUGGAAUUUUAGAGAGAGAAUGUUGGUGGGAGUUUUUAUUUAUUAUUAUUCUUUUUAUUGUUGGAAGGAAGGUUUUUGCUGGAAGAAAAAUGCCCAUGCCGGUUGCCAUGUCACUUACAUGAGGGAGAGAAGAGAGGUGCAUAUCCAAUAGGAACUCGCCACGUGAUGAACCGAUGUGAAGUUGAAAAAGAAACCCUAAAAAUUAAGAGUGUGUUAGUACACGCUCGCGGGUUGUUGAGCGUGGGGGUUCUUCCUUUUGAGAUGUUCCGGUCUUAUCAACUAUAAAGAAUGAUGCCUUGGCACAUAAGAGCAAUUUAAAUGGUUCGUGUUUAACACGCAAUCUUCAGGCGAGUGCUUAUGGAAUUCCACUGCUGAAACCCUAAUUUUUCUUUUUUCUUUUUCUUUUCCAAUUCUUAGCCGAAUAAUCGGGUGGUAAAAGAAAUACACAGCUUUUUUUAAUAUUAAUUAGUUUAUAAUAAUUAAUAACAAGUCAUUUUAAAAAAUAAUAAAUAUUUAUAAUUGAUAACAAAAACUUUUAAUUCUAAACAUUAACAAGUCUAUCAUUUUCUAUUGUGGUGGAUAGAAUCUAAAAUUAUAAAUUUUACUCUAAUUUAUUUUGUUAUUUUUAAAAUAACUUUAAUAUUACUAUAUCUUAUUGUAUUUGAAAAAAGUUGUUUCAUAAUUCAAACCAAUUAUAUUUAUUUUUUUGUUUCGCCCAGGUGGAAUUUUCUUUAAAUGUUGUGUAAAAAAAAGUUUGGAAAUAAACAAUGUAUUAAUUAGACAUCAUAAAUUGAUUUAAUUAAUUAGGACAAAAUUAUCUAAAAAUUGAUGCCUAGUCUAUGAGGAGCCAUGGGUUUUGUGAGUUAGGUAAUUAGGUUGGGUUAAAUCACUUCUUAGAAUCAAUCUAUGGUUAAAUUUUGUUAUUUAUUAAAUAAUCAACCAACAAAUUAUUAUGUUGGGUCACUUCGAAUUACUAUAAUUGUUUAUUUAAUUAAUCUUGUAUAUUGAAUUAAGAUUAUAAGUAACUCAAAUUCAAUUAAUAGAAUGAAAACUUACUUUUCAAAGUAAUUAAAAAGUUUAGCUUAAAUUAUCUAGAAAAAUAAAGAGAGAACAGAAUUAGUAUAAAUGUAUGUAAUAUAAAUAAUGUAUCAUAAAUAGAAAACUGUGUUUUUAGUAAUUAAUAAUAAGUUAAUAUUGGAUUUUGUUAUUUCAAAGUGGUCGCAUUUGAUUAUUUGAGCUCAACUUAACCUAGCUAAAUGAAUUGAUAACCCAAUUCAAAUAAUUCAAAUUGGAUUAGUCAUUGUUCGACUAUUUUGGUUGCUGAAUUUUAUUAACACCCUUGUCAAGUGGUACGCUAUAAUUUAUUACUUUAUUAAUUUCCACUCUAUGUUAUAAAAUUAUACUUUUAGUAAUUUAUACACUAAAUAUACAAUCUAACCAGUUAUUUUCAACGUGUAUAUACACAUAGACAAUCUAACACUCUUCCAAGAGUAGUAGAAAUUCAAAUUGUAAAAAAUAGUAGAAAUUCUUAUUCAAAAUAUCGAUAAAGGUUUAUAAUGAACCAAAAUUAGGACAGGAAUGAAAAAAUGGAUUUGGCACAAGGUUAAUUAACUAGUCAAUCUCAAAACAUAUUAUUAAAGGUAAACAUAUAAAUUAAAAUGAUGAGAAAUGCCUUUUUUUUUUUUAAUAAUUACUGAAUGGAGUUAAUAGCCACUUUACAUCAUUAAAAUUAACAGCUACAUCGUUUUCAAACCAUAAAUUUAAUAAUCAUUUGCUUGAUUUAUAGUUUAUAAUACUUUUGGAAUUUUCCCUUCAAAAUAGUGGGAUUUUCUUUAAAUAAAAAAGAUUGCCUCUCCCUAAAUAUUAGUCUAAUUUUUCCAUUUUAAUUUUAUAAUCAAUAAACAUUAACUUUAGUCUUCCAAAACUGGUUAUAUAACUAUAAUACAAAUUAUUGUAAAUAUAUGUCUUAUAUUAUAGUAAAUACUUUAAAAAUUUUAAGUAAGGAGUUUUAAGGGAAAAUCGUUCAGGAACCAUAAACUUAAAAGUAAAAUAUUAAAACAAUUAAGUAUCUUAAAGUUUAAAAAGAGUGGUAGAUCUCUGUAGAUAGGUAGUAUUUAAUUUGAAUCAAACCCAUAUUAAUUAGGUUAUAAAGAUCAUUUCGGUCGCACUCCAAAACUUAUUUUAUUUCAGCUUUCUAUAGUUUUAACAUGAAUAAAUUCAAUAUAUAUAUGAAUCACAUACUUUUUUUUUAUAUAUACAAAAUGUAACAAAUAAUGUAAAUACGUGUCAGUAGUGGACGUAACUGUUUAUAUAUAAAUUAGUUUGGGGAUUGUAUUUACAUGUCAAUAUUGUUUCAUGGCUUCUUUAAAUAUAUGUAUAUUAUUUCAUGACAUGUAAUGUAAUAUUCUCCUCUUCCAAAAUUAGAUUAACCAAUUUUUCUUAAACGCUUGUCAUAGAUACAGUAGAAGACAAAAAAGUACAUAAAGAAUUUUUCUUUAAAGAAAACAGUGAUAUUAUACAUACAUGUUAAUUAGAUAUAAACUUAAAUAAAAUAGAAUAACAAUUAAAGUGAGUAUAAUUUACAAUAUUGUCAAAAGUUCAAUAAUAGUAGGAACUUUUAUGUAGCAUUUCUUAAAUAAGUUAUUAUUUAUUUAUAGUUAUAGAUGUAUGUUCGAAGAUUCAAACCCCUUUAAUUUUAUGUUCUUCAUAUAAUAUAAUAGUUUUAAAGAAAAUCAAUAUAAUAUAAAAUAAUUACUCUUCAUAUAAUAUAAUAGUUUUAAAGAAAAUCAAUAUAAUAUAAAAUAAUUACUAUAAUUAACUCAAUGGUUAAAUGCAUAUUCUAAGAUCUAAUUCUAUACUCUACUGUUUGAAUCAUUUAAGUUAUUAUAUAAAGUAUUUGACAACAAAAUCUUUAGAUAAAACACUUACCAAUGAUAACUUGUUUUAAUAAAAGUGCACAAAGUAAUUCUCAAAUUUCGUGAAGUAGAAUGAUAUUUUACAUCUAAAAGAUUGUAGAAAAAAUAAAAGAUUGUUUCAAAUGAUAAAUAUUUAUAAAUAUAGCGAGUUAUAAAAAAUUAUUUGUAACAAAUACAUGAACAGUUUGAUAUUUUGUAAUUCAUUAUAAAUAAAAUAUGAUAUUUUGCUACAUUUAAAAUAGAAAGUUGGCGUUAAAAAAUAAUAAGUGGUUGAUAAUGUUGGCGUUAAAUAAUAACGAGUGGUUGAUAAUUAUCGACACAUGUGAAGCCCUAAAGUGAUUUGGUUAAUUUUGUGGAAAAGUGUUUCAUACAUGGAAGCCACGAUUUUCCCAAACCUCCGCGGAUGAUUAUGUCUAUAAUUUUUAUACAUAAAAGUUACUUUACAAAUAUAUAACAAGUACAGUUUUUAGAAAACAACCAAAUAAAAACAUGAAUUUUUGCAAUAUGUUUCAUACACUUGAGAAAAAGAAAAGGACUCGGGAAUUUUAAUUAGGUUUAUAUCAUUCAAUUAAAUUCAUAAGUAUGCUUUUGUUUUGAUUUGAUUACCAUGGUUAAUUUUAUCGACAUAUUCAUUACAAAUUCUAUGGAAGGUGAAUUAUGCUCAGUUUCAGGUGAAUGUUUUUUAUUUUGAAGUAUUUAACGUUUUACUGAUGGUAAUUUAAAAUCUUUUAUUGAAAUAUUAGAACUAAUCUCAUUUUAGUUUUUCCUUUUUCCAAAUGUUAAUUUAAUCACUGACUCUCAAAACAAAAUUCACUAAGAAGAAGGUAACCGUAGGCUAAUUUCAAGAUUAAAUAAGUUUACAUUAAUUAUAAUAUCUGAGCGUAUGUAUAUAUAUUAAGAUAGGAAAAACUAAAUAGAUCAAAAUAAUAAUAACAUGAAACUGUUUGUAUAAACUUUUAAAGUAUAUGUCGACUAAAUGGAUAUAUAUAACCCUACAUUUUAGAGAUCUAUUAAAUUCUAAAUACAAGAGCUAAAUAAAUAUGAUUUAAAGAGUUCAAACGGAAGCAUAUAAAUAAAUAUAUCACUUAAAUAAAACAAACUUGCACUCACCCAUUUUCCUCGUUUUGUCUUCAGAAAUAGUUUCCUACUCUCAGCUUAAAUGAUUUGAUGUUUUGGGUUCGUGUUUUUUCUUUUUUCUUUUUAAUAAGAGAAUAUUUCUAGAGAAAAUAGGAAGUAUUAAUAGGUGAAAUAAUGAUAAUCUUUUUAUAAAAUUGAACCCACUUUAUAAAUAUUUAGUCUUUUAUUAAUGGAUGCUAUUACUAUAUUUAUAAAAUAUUUAGAAUAAGUAUCGGUAAUAGAUCAAUAUUUACCUCAAUAUGGUGAUUUCUAUUAUUGAUAGAAUUUGAUAAAUUUAACUAUAUUUAUAAAUCUUUUAUUUAAUUAUUUUAAAUUUAAUUGAUAAGUCUAUAACUUGUAAAAAUUAAUUAUAAAAUAAGAUUGUGUAAAACAAAUAGCUUUAAUAAUUUUUUUUCUUUCUAAGUCACAUAGGUUUUGCACACACCAUGUGAAAAUAAUAUAAUAUCCUAACAAGAUAAAGGCAAAUUUGCAAUAAUAGUAAUCUUGCAAAAAAAAAAUCUCAUUUAAUUCAAAAAAUAAGUCAUUUUGAAACAAAAAUAUAUUCAAAGUAAUUAUAGAAAACGAACUUUUUUUAAAAAAUCAAACUUAUUUUAAAUAAUUUUUUAUCAAGCUAGUCACUUUUAUUCUAAAUUCAAUUUGUUUCAAUAUUGCAUAAAGACACCAAAUUUUUAUAAACGGACACCUUUUAGCAAUACAUUAUUUUUUUAAUAAAAAAAAAAAAAACAAUCUUCAUCAAAAUCUAAGAAGAAAUCUAAAUAAGUAUUGAUUUCUUAUAUUGAAGACAGAACUAUCAACACAUAGAACAUAUUAUGACCAUCUAGUGAACAGAAAAUAAAAGUGAACACACACAAGAUGGAAUGUGCUUUACUACUUUACAUAAGAUGUCUGGAUUUUAUCAAAUUUGUUGGUGUGACCAAUAGCACUUUCUGCAAUCUUCUUCUUGACAGCAGGAACGAUAAAUUCAACGUCACCCCUUUUUGGGCAUGGCAGCAAGCCUUGUGUACAUCCUUGCCAUUGAUUGAUAUCCUCGGGCAUCGCCCGAACGCAGAAGGUUUCCUGUAAACAGCCACAAAAUCAGGGUUAUUGGCAUCGUCUCUGGAAACUGCAUGAGUCUGAUCCUGAAAUAGUUUAUGAAACUGAGCAACAUGCUUCAGUCAGUUCACAUCCAAGGGCAACCCUAUUGUUCGAGAUGUUGGCAGUUUCUCUCGAAAGGUCUGUCCUGUGUUCAAGCUAACAUAUGAAGAGUUUAAGCCCGUAUGAUAACUAUUUGAUUUUUUUAAAACUACACUUAUAAAUAGUACUUUCAUCGACAAGUAUCUUUGGUUUGUUGUCUACUGUCUGUCUAACAAUGUUUGCAUAAUCUACCCCAACUUCUCAAACGUAACAAACGAAAAGGUAGUUUUAAAAACUUGUUUUUGUUUUUGAAAUCUAAUUUUGGAAAUCAAAAAUUCAUGUGGCUAUCAAGCAGGUCUCAAUCAUUUGUAAUCUAACUCUAGUCCCUCUGGAAGAUGGCUUAGGAAGGGCUACGCUUUCCAAAAAGAUUAGUGGAUGUGGUUCCUGAACCUAACAAACAUUUCAUUCCUCAAAAAGCAUCCACUCCCCAACAUAAAGGAUUUACAAGAAGACCAUCUCAUCUAGGUAAACAAAGUCGGUCUACGUUGGCCACUUACUCCGGUUCAGAGGUCCCCUAAUAUCUCUUACGCUAAAAUAUAAUCAGUCGAUUCGAUUCUAAGAAUAUAUAAUCGAACAUUAGUCAAUCAACUGGUACAACUCUAGUGUUUCUUCUAGAGAGGUAAAAAUCAAUGGAAUUAGAAGAAAACAAGCAUGAAUUUGAAAACUAAACAAAAUCAUUAUUGAACGGGUUCUAAAACUACUUUGCUACAUUAUCAACUAUCACACCAUCACAAAGAUUCAAAGAAAUAAGCAUGUAAAUCAGAACAAAAAUCAUCAUAAGGAAUCCAUGUGAACUCACCCGAAUCACAGUUUAGUGGGCUAUCAGGUUCGGGAUGAGCCAUCAAAGCAAUUAUAGCCCUGCAAACAGAUUGCAGUGUCCAUGCUGGGCUCCAUGCAUUCUUCAAUAUAUCUAGACAGAUCUCACCCGUCUGCACAAAGGAACGGCGAUAAAUGUAAAGUGUUGUUCAAUUCAACAACUGAAGAGAUUUAUGUUUGUAUCAUGUAUGCUUAAUGACAAAAAUGAAGUGUACUAAGAUUAAGAUUCACCAUAAAAUAAAACUGCAAUCACACAAGGUAUCAACAGAUGUGAAUGAUCACUGAAUUGCUCCGUAACAAGAAUUCCACUCAAAAUUAUGUCUAUAAAAGCACCAGUCAAGAAUUCCACUCAAAAUUAUGUCUAUAAAAGCACCAGUCCUCAAAAUUCCAUAAGAAAUGCUUCCCACUGCCUAUCCCAUCGCACAUUUGAAGGAGAGGUUAUUUUCAAACUCCCACAUAGAGUGGUUCAACUUUUAAGUUUGUAACACACCAUAUCCAACACUUUAUGACAACUAUUUAAAUUCUUCAAUACCAAUUGUUUCGUCAAUUAGACGGAUUUCAUCACUGCAACUAUCGUAAUACCUUCAACAAUAGGGUCAUCCACCCGAUUCUCUUGUGGUGCCUCCCUAGAAUCCACAAGAUGAUUUGUGUGUAAUAACUACUCUUUCUUGGACAAUGGAACCCCUUACCCUAUUAUUGUCCUUUCCUCCCCCAUGAUUACCUCCUUAUAAUCCUUACAGCAAUCUUGCUGGUAGAAAAUUAUCAAAUUUAGUAUAGAUUGGACAUGGUCGGCAGCUAGUUGGAGUUGGUGGGCUUUCUUAGGGUUUCCUUAUUUGGUAUUUAAGGGAUCUCAGAGUACACUGAAGGUUAUUUGGGUGUAACUUCAUCAGUUCAUGUAGGUACAUUUGGGAAUAUGAUGCAGAUAUCAGCCAACUAUAAUUCAUAGGAAACAAUAAAAUUCACAGUUGUGACAGAAGGGCUCAUGCUCAUAGUUAGUGUAGGAUUUGGAAAAAAAAAAAGUCAAGGUGACUUCUACCUUAAAAUGAACAUUUGGGUGGAAAAUUUUCGUUAAGAACCGCACUUGAGGAGGUUGCAAAGGGUAUUGCUCAGGAACGGCAAAGGCGAGCUGGAAGACACCACCUUCAAAAGGAGUCUCUGACGGUCCCUAAAUAACAUGCAUAUCAAUCAUGUUAAAAUUUAAAAACAACUCUGAAAUCAACAUUUCAACUGAAUCAUCGAGAGAGUUACCUUGAUCAGGGCCGUCCAUUUAAAAAUAUUGGAGUCAUCACAAACCAAUUGAAUAUCUGGAUCUGCUACCUUUUCUCUUUGAACCUCUUUGUACUCCUUGAACAACCUUGCUCUUGAGGCCUACACAAAAUCAAGGUUUUAAUAGGCAUAACCUUGAGACUUUUCCUCUUAACAAGGCCAGGUAUAGGCCUUAAGAAGGUAUGAGGCAUAACCCUCAAUUUUAGUUAAAAAAAAUUAUACAGAACCUAAAUGUUUGUGAUUGAAAAUAAUAGUUACAUAAAACUUCAAAUAUCAAUUGGCACUUGUGUCUUUAGCCUAUGAAGUAAAAGUAUUAAUAGUUGUUCAGUAACAAAGAUACGUGAAGCUAAUUGAAAUCACCCGUUAACCAUAACCAUAACCAUAAAGAUAUAAAAGCAAAUCAGUCUUCUACAAUUAUGGGUAAGUAUGAGGUAGAAAUUCACUAUCAUACAGGGGAUAAUAAAAGCCUGACCUGAGAGAAACCAUAUAAAAUUACAAUUACAUUGAAAAAACAAAAUGCAGAUGAAUCCAGAAAAAUAUAAAAACUUCAAAGAAAAUCCAUAUACUUCACGUUGUUACUCAUCAGUCAUCACCACAUCAUAACAGAGACGUAAAUACAUUUCUAUGCCUUUUGUAAUUAUUCACUAGGUCCCAUUCCUUAUUGUGGUUGACACUCAACUACAAUUGUCGAUCUUUUUGUAUGUUUUUGUAUUAUUUUUCUUUUCAAUGAAAGUCAGGUUUUCCAUUGAGAAAAUACACAUCUAUACAACUAGGUAUAGUGGCUAACCUGCAUUAUAGAUUCUCCAAGAUUAAACACGCGGUUUCAAGCCUUAUUCUCAGACCAGCAAAAUUACCGGCCGACAAACUGCAACCGGUAUAAAAGAAAAGCCUCUACACAAGAAGAACAAAUCAUAAUGAGUAAAAUCAUAAGGAUUUGUAGAACGCAUAAUAUCAAACCCUAGAGAAGAAAUUCCAGGUGAAAGGAAUGAAAGAAAGAGAAAUUCAUAGACUAUAGAGUUCCUUUGAAUGGAGAAACUUAAAAAAAAAACACAAAUUGACGGAAAUCGAAAGCAACUAUAGAUUUCUAAAGGCAGAAGAACCAACAAUUCGAACAAAUCGAAGAUUAUACAAAAUAGAACAACUCACAAUCAACAAUAAGAUCGAUUUGUCGUCCAGAAACGAGCUCGAGACAGCUCGGAGAUGCUGGAAAAGGGGGAAACGCCGAAGACUUAAUCGGAGAUGAUAUCUAUGGAACGUACUUUGCGGUCUAUUGUAUUCGUAUCAGCAACCACCGGCCGUCUUCCGUAAUUCGUAGCUUCUCGUGAUGAUGAAUCUCGGGAAUUGAAAUAUUUUUAUAUCUUUUCUUAUUUUUGCAUUUGUCAAUUCUCCAAUAAUGUUUCCGUGUAAAUAAUUUUUUAUUUAUAAUAACAAUUAACAAUCUCUCCUUUUUCAAAUCAGGAAAUAUUCACAUUUAUUCGGGGAUUCAAACGUAAGUCGCAAAACAUAAUAGAUAAAUUUACAAGUUUAGCCCUUCACAUUUGGAGGUUCGUAUCCAUCUUUUCCCUUAAUUCUAGAACGUGUUUAAUAUGUGGCGUUAUUCAAAUUCCACACCUUUAUAUUUUAAAUAUUCUUGAGAAGGGUGAGAACAUCCGUUUCAUCCUCCUCUUGAAUCAUAUUUGUUUGAUUUAUCCACAAUUCUAGCAUGUCUCAUGAGACUUACCUCAUACAUUUAUUUUACUUUUAGUUUUUCAAUUACUCGGUAACUUUAGAUGAUAUAUAUAAAAAAAAAAUCUUCAGUAACUUUAGAUGAUAUAUAAAAUUAGAAUGUAAUCAAGAUUAUAGCAGUGUUGAAAAGUUUGAAUAAUCAAAGACGAAAAGAAAAUGAAAUUUGAGAAUGAAGAAAAAGAGAGAUGAAAAUUUAUCUGAACAAAAUGAAUUUUACGUUUCAAAACAUUUCAUUCAAACGUGAGUUUUAUAUUAAAUGACAUUAUAAACAUAUUUCAUUAUGAGUUACCAAACACCCUAUUAAGACUUUUCAAUUUCUUCUAUAGGAUUUCAUAUGUCCAAAAUUGUGAACUAGGUUUUGGUUUCACUCAAAGUCUUACGAAAGAAUGUUCUAUCUCACUUGUACCACAAUUUUCAUGUCAUUAGACAGCGUGAGAUUUCAUUAUAUUUCAUACCAGAGACUUCUCUUACCUUUUUAACAUAACUCAAUCAAAGGUUUCAUAGGUUAAAAAUGCGUCAACAAAACAAUGUCUAUUGAUUCUAAUUUAAAAACAAAACAGCUUAGUUUUAUGUAAACAAUUUCAUAAACUCUCUUAAGCAAAACAGUACAAGAUACAAGUAGUUAUUACGGAUCAUGUUAAAAAAUUUAUUGAAAAACAACUAAAAUAAUGAGAGAUGAACUUUACACUAAAGUUAUUUAUUAAAAAAAAAAGAGGGAAAAAAAUCAACAAAAGGUCAAAUUUAAUGUAGGUGGUCUCCCAAGGCUUUUUCCUUUUCUCUUUUCCUUUUUCCAUCCCUCUACAAGAAAUAUACACGAUUUCAUCAAUACUCAAACAGGCAACAAGAAUGAGGGGCCAAUGGCAAACACUAUAUGUAUGCAAUGUGAAAACAGGGAAGCAUAAAAAAAAACAAAGGAAAAAGGUGAGGCGGUCAUUUCACAUGCUACCAGCUCUGCCAGGAGUGGAUUUCGCGGGUUUGAAUUUUGCAAUGUCCACGAGGUCACCGAACAGUUUGUCCUCUGGUUUAUUGACUGGCUUCAUGGGAGGCACAUAAGAUAGAGCAGAAGCUUGAGAAGACGAAUUGCUCACACUCAUAUCAUCUCUAACAGACAGGCCAUACAUUUGCUGCUCUAGAUAUUGGGGCAUUUGCGGUUGACCAUGACCAUAUCCAUAGCCAGGGUUGUAUUGGUUGUGGUUGCCAUACAUUUGUUGAGGGUAAUAUUGUUGUGUCAUCUGGUUAGCUUGUGGAUGUUGUUGAGGCAUUGGCAUACCCAUAUUUUGCAUGCCUGGGAUCUGCUGCGGAGGCAUUGGCAUACCCAACUGAUGGUUUGGAUUAACAUGGCUAUUCAUGUUAGACAUUUGACCACUCGUUAUCGGCUGGAUGUACAUACCUAUACCUACAACCUCAUUCCCCAUUGAUUGAGGUCCCUGGGGAUGUCCACCAAGUCCGUGUGAGACAAUAACCUGAGUAGUAACCUGCAUUGGUUGAGAGUAAUGAGAGCCUGCCACUGGGCUGCCAUCAUCAGAUGACUGAGCUUCCCAGGGUGGAGGUGGUAAUGAACCAAUUUGCGAUCCUGUCACACAAUCAAAUAUCAUGUAAGUCUUGCAUAUGUUCACACUUCACAUUGAACUCGAAAACAAAAAUGUCAAGCAAAUGGUAGGUGAAAUUCAUGCAGUAACUAAGAGAUGUGCGCAACAGAACAGCAGAAGGAACACAGAAAACUUGCGAGUCCCAGGAAUACGCAAACACAAAGAUGUAGAAUUCUGCCAUGUUUCAGCAAAAUCAUGAUGGAGAAUUUUAAUGCAAGCUAAGUGUAGAUAAAAAUACCAUAGCCAGGUGAAUGGGGUUGCUGUUGCUGCUGAGGAGGAGUUUGACCAUUCCAGGCAGAACCUACGCCCUGCAUGUACAUCGAUUGCUCGUAAUUAGGUGAACCCAUGUUCAUGACGUUCCCAUUUGGAUACAUCCCAGCUUGAGGGGAAUGAACAUUAGGUUGCUGCUGCUGCUGCUGCUGCUGCUGCUGUUGCUGCUGCUGCUGCUGCAAUUGAGAACCAUGUGGAUGCAGGGGUUGCGCACCAGGAUUGACAGGAGGGGGAUUUGCAGGAUUAGAGGCACUGUUACUAUCAGAGAACAUGUCAAAUAGAACAAGAGCAUUUUGAUCCGACACAGGAGGAUUGGGUUGUUGCUGUUGCUCUCCAAGAGGAACAAGAGCCAACGAAGUCUCUGCCUUUGGUGAAUUGAAGUCACCACUCAGCAAAUCGACAUUGGGGUCAACUCUACCUGCAGGAGCGGGCCCAUUAGCUGCACCAGGUGCAGGAAGCAAUAACUGGUUCAGGGUUUGAGAACCUUCACCAGUAUUCGAGGUGGCAGCACUGCAGAACAAGUAGACGUAAAUACACAACCAACAUGAGGUUAAUCAUGACUUAAAUGACCAUGACCAAAUCUUUAAGCAUUCGAUGAAACUUUGCGAGCAUCAUCAAUCUUAACAUUUAAAAAGUUCGAGCAAAUCAAUGCAAUAUACUAUGAGUUUCCAUACUGCAAAAAGUAAUCUACCCUAGAAGAUGUAAUUACUUUGUCUCAGGCUGUUUGCUGUUAUCUCCAGUGUCAAUAAGGGGCCGGUCUACAUCAAUGAGCGUCGUAGCAGAUUCAGACUUUGGUUUCUGAACAACAGGAUUUCCAGAAGAAAUAGAUUCAUGCCUAGCAAGUAGCCUCUGAAGAUCAUCAUUAAGUGCAAGUCCUUGGCAAAGCAAUGACUCAUCCCUGUACCCGGGUUACAGAAUAAAGUUAAAUACAUGCACACAUAAAUUGUGACUCUCCAGUUAGCAUUCGUUAAUGUACAUUUCAUGAACUAGUUGUUCCAGAAUAAGUAGACCAGAAAGCAACAUACAAUGCUUCUGCUACUUGAAUUACUUUAUAGUACUUUAAGCAAACUCACGCCCCAUACAACAAAUUCACAAUUAACAUCGAGUGUAGGCCAGGUUACCAAAACACUAUCCGUACAGUUGCAUUACAAGUAAUUACUUUCGUUUUUUAUACAAAUCAAUUGAAAGUUGCUGGAUCCCUUUAUGUAGAGGGGUUCCCUUCUUGUGUGGGCUUGUUUUCUUUUGUGUGCCCUUGUAUUUUCUUUCUUCUGAUUUCCUCAAAUGAAAGUCAUUUUAUCAUAAUAUGUGUACACAUAUAUAUUGAAAAUCUUAUGUAGUUCCUUGGCUCAAGAAAGAAAUGUCCACCUUCCCCAGUUAUGUAUUCUUUCUUUCUUUCUCUCUCUCUUUGAUGAAUUUAACGAAUAAGGAAAGAAAUAAGGGUUAUUUACAAAUUUAGUAAAAUGAACUACAAUAUUUAAAAAACAUUGCAAAAUAUCACAGUCUAUCUAUGACAGACAACGAUAGACCAAGAUAGACAACUAUAUGUGUCUGUUCAUAUCAUGAUAGAUAUAGAUAAUAGUCUAUCACAGAUAGAUUGUGAAGGCUAUAUUUGUAAAUAUUUUCAAAAGUUUUGUCUGUUAUAAUUCUAUUUUUGUAAAUAUUUUUGUUAUAUUUUCUUUUUUUGGGUUUUUCAACAUUUUCCUUAUUUGGUCAACAUUGUGGCUUUUCUUUAGUUAAUGCAACAAGGUAUUCUGAUUCUCUCUCAAACCCAAGUGUUUUACAUGGUAUCAGAGAGUUCAAGAAGAUUAGAGUUUUAAAAUUGAGGACAAAAAAAUUGAUUUAGUAAGAUGGACGAUUCCCAAUCCUAUAACAGGAGUGGAGGUUCCAUCAGCUAUAGUGACAUUAGGCAAAGAGGUAGAUGUACAAAUGUUAUUCUCUAACCUUUAUAACGAGGGAUAGAGAAUAGAUGUUCCUUUGUACAGUGCAUCUACUUCAUUUUUUUUUUAACUUCUUGUUAGAACUUUUUUUUUUGUUGAUUAUGCGAAAUUACCAAAAACUCUGUUUCCUCUUUGAAACAAAAAACCCAAAAAAUAUGUUUCCUCUUUGAAUAAAAAAACCAAGUGUGUUUGUGAAAGCACAAUCAAGAACAAUAGUGUCAAUAGCAGAACUAACAUGCAUAAAAGCAACUAUAAGUAUGAGGUCUUACGCAGUUGAGUUAACAAGGUGAACCACCCUCUGCUUGUAAGUACGGCACUGGUCAACCAAGUCAACAAUAACUUCCUGUCUGAUAGCCUGCCACAUGAGAAAUCCCAACAUGAAUAGAAUCGAGAAUCCACACAUGUGAGUGACAGAAGAAUAAAAAACAUCCCAGUCAUGUCAUGAAAAAAAAACAUGGUUUUGCUUUCAUUUUAAACUAUUAAAUUACCUCUUUAUUCCCUGGUUCUAAUGCAUUAAGCAUUUCUGACAGAACGUCCAUAAUUCCACGAGCAUUUUGAAUUUCAGUCAGGCUGGAAAGUUGAAAUCAAGAUCAAUUUCAUAGAUCCAUAUUAACUAGAUUCAUAAAUGGACAAGAUACUAUGAUGAUGAAAAACGAGAAUAAAAAAUGUUUGUACACCUUAAGGUCGGAAACUCGGACUCAGCAGAGGUUUCAGCACCAUCUUGCUGAUUACGCUCGGGAUUCCGUAGAUUUGGAGGAUAUGAUGCCAAAGGUUGUGUUUGUGGAGGUGUGAAUACAGGUGCUGAGCUCUCAGAUCUCUGGGGGAAAACUGCUCCAGCACGCUGAAACAAAGAAGGUAUUAGUACUCACAUACUCAUGUCAUGAUAACUAGUGGAAAACAGUGCGCGCAUAAACAAUAAAAAAUAAAAUAAAAUAAAAACUGACAAUUCCUAAACUUUUGCAAAAAUGGCAGGAGCUCAAAGAAUAAAUCGUUCCCAAGGAAUUCAAUCAAUCUCAAUUGGGAUUUUAAAAAAUGCUUUUCAACGCUUACCAACAAUUCCUGGUACGCAGCAUAAUAUUGCGGAUAUCUUGCCCUAGGUCCUCCAAAAGCUUCUUGCCAGGUAUCUAUCAGAAUCAAUAUCUUCUCUUUGACGCGAAAAUCAGGCUACAUUAUGGCCAAAAUUGCUGAGAUGUUAUUCUAUGAGAAAAUGACAGGUGAAGCAAAAAAACAACAAAAACAUUUUAAAUGAAAUCCUACCUUCUUCUUCACCAUUUUUACCAACUCAUGAAGAAGACCCUUCUCUGCCACAUGCAUAUGAACAAUGUCCCCACAAUUCUUAAUGAUUGUUUCCAACAGCUAGAAUGUAGAGAUAUGACAAAAUCAGAAAUUAACUUAUUCCUCUAUAACAGAAUACCAAGAUUUACUGAACUGAAUAUUGCUGCAGGUAACAAAGUAAUGCAAGCUUAAAAUAUGGAUAAGCACGAUUAGUAAUACCAAAUUAGUAACUUCCUGAAGAAAUUAUUGUAGUAGCUUGAGGUAGUAUUUUAUCUCAUUAUUCUCCUUCCGCCACACAAAACCAAAGAGAAAUCGCUUAUAUCUUCAACUAACAAACUGCAUCCUUUUUUUAAGCUAACUUACUUUCCUUUUCCUUAUAAGAAAGGUAGACUUUCUAUUAAGCAGAGACUAGUAUACAAAAACAAAAAUUAAGACAUAUCUACACAGGAUUUUAACGAGCAAAUUUCUUGAUUAUGAACUUUGUGGUAAAAGACGGAUUCAAAGGACGUUUAGAGUGGGAUUAUAUAUUUAAAAACCUAAACAAAGGACUUCUGCACCACAUUGUUCUUGUGAUUAUCCCCAUUUUGAAAGCAUACUGCAUAUAAUCUCCUCUUUUUCGCAGAACACUAUCCACCUCCAUCACUUUUGAAUCUAUAUGCGUUGUAGUCGACAAUCAAAUAAUUUGCUAAGUCUUUAUGCAAAAGAGAAUGUCUAUGUCUAUUUUACCUCAAGCAGAUUCCCCUAGACUAAAAAUUCACUGCCCUUUAAUACCACCCAAGUGCAAAACGGUUGAUGCAUGCCUUAUGGCUUACAGUAUUCGGUAGCUAAUGAACAUAUAGGAUAUACCAUUCCCAAAAGAGUUUAUUUUUGUUUUUUUUUAAAUCUGUAACUAUUUAUGAUUCGCACAUCCAAUCAAAGAAAUCUAAACCCCAAACUUAAUUAAUGGUAAAUCACAGUGAUUUAACCAAGACACAAUCCAUUUAGAACAAGGAUGAGAAAACGGAUUCACAGUAGUUGUCUCCACCAGAACAAGGAAAAACAGAUUCAGGUUAGUUAGAAUAUGUUUUUUUUUCCUUCUUCUUCUGGUGAAAAAGAAGAUAACAACUGCACAAUACAACAAGCAACAUUGUCUUUGAUCCUUUUAAGAAACAAAAUCCGAAACUAACAAUAACUGCUUAGAUAUUGAUGUCCAAGUAGUAAAAAAAUUGUGCAAUCAAUAGAGUCAAUAUGACAACGAAUGCAUAGAAUAACAAAAUAAAUUAAAAAUAAGUAUAUCUUAGGACUUACCGUCAGGGCAAGAAGUUGAACUUUUGCGUUCUUGCUUCCAAGGCGUUUCUUUAUACCUUUAACGACAUCUUUCGCUUGCCUGAAAAUUUGCCAAUGAAAUAGUGAACUCCAAGCCUAAAGAUUAGACACUUAGAAAAGAUAAAUGAAUAACACAUCCAACGUUGAAAGAAAUAACCGAAGCAUCGUCAAAUUACUCCUUGUCAAGAAAUCCAAUUAAAACGAAAACCUAGUCAGUAGCAAAACCUGCUGAAAUUUCUCAUUUGUUUAUCGAGAUGCAUGAACAGUCAGUUGCUGAGUCGCAAAUCAUAAUUUCCAUUUGAAUGCAAAAGAACACAGAAAAGAAGCAAGUUUCGGCCUGUCUUCAAUAUUCAGUUUGCAAAUACAACAAAUGAAAAAUCCCAACAACAGACUUCUAGUAAUCAUUUGUUUUUGCGACGAACAGAUACUCAGCAACCAAACACAAAAAAUAACCACGCCCAAAUUCCAACAAUUAUUUCACUCAAUCAUUUAAAAAUAGCUUACAAUAAGAACAGAUAACACAACUUUUCAAAAUUGACAAAAACAAUGAUUGAAACGAAAAACGAUAAACCAAACAAUCAGAUGCAAUGCGUACCCGGGGUCAUGGUUCAACAUAUCACAGAUCUCGAUGUUCAUCGCCCAAUCUGGACCAAUCAACAUAUCGCUCGUAGCACGCGCCACCACGGAAUUCACCAUCUCUCUUCCGCGCAAAAAAUACUCCCCGAUCGGAAGAAAAAAUUCCUAUUCCGACAACCGUACAAGUUUCCACCGGCGACGGGAAACAAUUUUCCGGCUAAUUAGCUGAAUAUUCCGUCUACUCUCUCUCUCUCUCUCCCAAAAUCGCUCUCCGGCCGCGAGAUCGCCAGUAACCCCCCCUUUUUUCUCUCGACAAACAAACAAUACUUUUUUUUUCUUUUUCUUUUCUUUUCCUAUUUUUUCUAAACGCAUUUUAGUUUGCUUUCUCAUAGGCAUUAGAUGGAACUAAAACGGAAGGCCAGUUAAAUUUCGCCACGUGUAAAACAACGAUCCACUUCCGUUGUGUAGUACUGAGGUGGAAGACUUUCGUUCCAUCGGCUCGACCGACCCUUUUCCUUUUCUGUUUUUUUUUUUACCAUCAAGCGGUUCCGGUUCUUCGUUUCACCACUUUAUAUGGGUCGGCUUUUUUUCGGGAAUUUUCCCCUGCGACGCGCGACCAUGAAUCUACCCCAUCAUUGAUUGAUGUUUUUCCGUAUCCGAGUUUGACGGUGUAAUGAAGGGGAUACAUAUACACAAACGAAAUACUCCUAAAUUUAAUAUUUAUGUCAAAAGAAAUUUGAACUUAAAAAAACAAAACAAUACAUUUAUGAAAGGGACAUUUUAAAUAUUAAUAAAAAAAUUAUAAUAGAAUCAUCUAAACUAUUUGCACCACAUUGUAAAAUAUGAUUUCAUACUUUUGUCAAAUGUUCUGUCAAGGUAGAUAGAUGUUACUAUAGUAAAACGAAUUUAAGUAUACUAAUAUAUAUCAUCAAUAAACUUAGAACUUUAUGAAUAUUUUUAAAUAUUUUUUUAUUCACAAUAAUUAUCUUUUAUUAAAUUGGUUUUCGAUGAAAACCACUCGUUUUUUUGUUUUAAAAAUGCAUUGUAUUUUUUAAAAAAAUUAAUUUAUUUUAAAUUAAAAAAUGUGUAGAAUACACCUAUUGUUUGUAUAUAAAUACAAAGUUUGAAAAAACAUCAUUAUGAUAGAUAGCAAAAAAAUUAAAGCUAUUUAUAAAAUAUAUAUAUAGAAAAAGAAUACUCAAAUAAAAUAAAUUAUAAAGAGUUGGAUGAAUUUGUAAAUAGUUUAAAUAUUUUAUCAUUUUUAAAAUAUUUGUUUAAAAAUGUAAUAUUAUAAAUAUGCUAACAACUUGAUUUGAAGUUUUCCAAACAAAAUCGAUCUUUAAAACAGAUUAUAAACGUAUCAUCUUUCUUUCAUAUUUUCUCUUAUUUGUGUAAUUAUUAUACCAAAUAUCUCACAAAUUUUCAAUGCCAAAUUAUCCUCUUAAAAUUUACAAAAGUGAUAAAUUGCCAAAUACAAAAAUAACGUAUUUAGUUAUUCACUAAAUUAUCCUCUUCAAGUUUUACCUUUUACAGUCUUUUAUUUUUAAUUUUUUAAAGAAAAAGUAUUUCUUCAUAAAUAAUAAAUGUUGAGUUGAAGGGGAGGGAAAUACUUACAUACAUAUCUUAACAAACCUAAAAAAUCAAAGUUAUUUAAAGCAUUUAAACUUUUCUCCGGUGCUUUCUAAAGAUUGAAACUUUUAAAAGUACACAUACAUAUAUAUUUUAAAUUUAUGGUCUACACAAAUAUUCUACUCCAUUAAUUUUGCCCUCCAAGUGGCUAUUAUACAUUGGGGAGCUAAUUGAUUAGAUUGGUUCAACAUUUUAUUUGAUGAAAAUGACAAUAACGAGGCCACAUAUUAAUUCAUAUUCUGAAAUAUGCGUCAAUAAAGCAUAUCCACACUCUCGAAAUAUACGUAACGUCAUCUACUUCAAAAUUUGUCUAAUAACAUAGAAAUACACUGUUUUAUUAUUUGUUCACAAUAAAAGAGAAUAACGUUAACAAUAAGAUCAUAGUCCACAAAACAAACAUCUCCCAAGGCACAGGAGAACCACAAGGGCAAGAGCAUACCAAUGCAUCACUUUCCCCAAAGAUUAAUAUGUUUUGCUGCAUUAAAUAGUCAUGCAUCACUUGUCAGCCAUUAGAACUUCAUUUCUUUUGACUGAAAAAUUCUCUCGAGUUGUUAUCACCAUACUCAAUGAGAUUCUUGUAAUUAUCAGAAACUCAAACUAUUCAUUCGAUAAAGUCCUAGUGGCUUUUAUUAUUAUUAUAUAUUUAGAAUGUGUAUGGAUAGAGAUUUAGGGGAUUAGGAAAAUGAUUAUGGCCCAGACGAGUUUCUACUUUUUAGGAUUAGGAUUAAAUAAGAGAAAUUACAAUAGAUGACUAUUUUAAUAAUAAUAAUUAAGGAUACAACAACAUUUUUAAAAAAUUGCAAAUAUAACAAAACUAUCACUCAUAGACUUGUAUCGCUGAUAGACUUCAUAUACUAUAUCAGUGAUAGACCAAUAUUUGCAACAUGGUAUAUCAAUGAUAGACUUAUAUCAUUGAUAGAAUUUGACAAAUUUUGCUAUAUUUGCAAAUUUUUUAAAAUUGUGCUAUAUACUUAAUUAAUUUGAAUUUAAUUGCUAAAUUUGCAACUAUCCCAUUAAAUAACCCUACAAACUAUCCUACUUCAACUUUUCAUAACCCUACAAACUAUCCUACUUCAAUUUUUUCAUAACCCUACAAAUUUUCCUACUUCACCUUUUCAUAUCCCUACAAAUUUUCCCACUUCACAUUUUCAUAACUCUAUUACAUUUAUAACUAUUCUCACAAACACAUGUUAUAAUAACACACCACAAUUAUAACUCUUCCCCCAAAUGUAUAUUAUCGUAAUACUACAACAAUAAUCUUUUCUCUAAACACAUAUUAUCAUAAAACUACCAUUCAUAUUCAUUCCUUAAACACAUAUUACCAUAACAUUACCAAUAACAACCCUAACCUCAAACACAUAUUAUCAUAUAACACUAGGAUAAUUAUAAUCCUAGAAAUAUCAUAAUCAUUUUCUCCCACAAUUCAUUUCUUUCCUAAAACGCACACUUAGUAUUUAUUUUCAAUUCAUAUUUGAUUUCAAAUGUUAAGCUAGAAUUACUCGACAAGUAGAAAUAAUUAUGGUGAAUAUCUAUUUCUAUUUAUUUUAUUGUUAAAUUAUUAUAAGUAUGGUUUUGUAUUAUACAAUUGUUUGUUUGAAUAACGAAAUUUAACAACAAUCAAUAUUUGUCCUCUUCUAUUUCAGUAUUUAAAAUUUAAAGACAAUUUUUUCAAAAAAAUAAAUUAAGUAACAAUUUUAGAAGUGUUUAACAGAUAACUACUUCACAAAAUCACAUAUAUAAUCUUCUAAAAAAUUAAUCUAUAAUUUUUUAAAAUUUAACUUUAGUUUACCUAAAACAUCCAAAAUUUGAUUUAGAGAGAAAAAAUGACCUUUAGGAUGACGGGUGUAUUUAAAUUAACUUUUAAAGUGUUUAAAUUUGAAAAAAAAUUAUUUAAAAAAAUAUAAAAAUAUUUUAAAAUGUAUUUUUGAAAAAUUUAAAACUGAAAAAAUAUAUUUUAAAACAAAAUUAUGUAUAUAAAUACUCCCAACAUAAUGUAUUCUUAAAAACAACUUUUUCUAUAAAUAAUCCAAAUGACAAUGGACAAACAACCGUGAACACACUAAUUAUAAAUGGUAUGAAUAUGGGAAAUUUUCCGUAGCAUUGGAAGCUAAAUUUAAAUUUAAGAUCCAUUAUUAAAACUAAAAAGACAAAAAUUUAAAACCAAACAAACUUCAAACCAAAAUAAAAACUUAAUAACGAUACGAUUGCCGGAAGCCGCCGGUCAGAGCACAGAGAACCGUUAAAUCCCGAAGAUCGUGGGACACUGGUGGGCUACUGUAAAUUGCCGAUUCAGCUUGGAAGCUACGCUGCCAGUUUACACCACUUCUCUCUCUCUUUCUUGUAAAUCAUUUCCAACAAAUUUCUGGAACAAGUAUUUCCCCUCUACCGCCAUUUCAACUAGGGUUCAUCGGAGAUCGUCGUAAACUCCUGGAUCCAAGAUCGAAGAUCAAUUUUCUCGUCCAGCAACCACAAUUUGUCGGCAUUUCUUCAAAAACUACAGCUAAGUAGUUGUAAUUCGAUACUCUACAAGCUGGUUGUGCUUCUCUUCUCUUCCUGUCCAUGUGUUUAGUUUCUUGCCUCUUUCUUGGAAAAGCAUCGAUGGUUCGUGCGAUCCAGUAUAUGUGCGGCAUGUAAAGAAUUAGGGUUCUGAGAGUAUAUUUCUGUUGAGUUAGGUCUUUUCCUGAUUGAUUUCGAGUUCGGUUUUGCGCGAGGUGGAUUUUCUUUUUUGGCUCAAAUGGCGAUUAUUGGAGAUGCGCUUCGCCAGGCGUUCAUGCCUAAGCACGAGUAUGAGAAUCUUCGCGAAGAAGAAAAGGCUUGGGGCAAGCUUCAGAAACCACUGGUAAUGGCUCUUGUCGCUUUGAUAGGGCUCGCAAUUAUUGUAUGCACGAGUAUCAGUUUGAACAUAGUCUUCCCUGACGACAUCGGAAAUAGACCGUUCUGCAGCGACAGGAGGCUUCAGCCUCUUCCCAUGAUGAAUGGGAAAGGAGGCGAAUCUGAUCAUUUUCUUGGAGCUUUUUACCUCACUAAUCAAGAAAUCGUGGACUAUUAUUGGAUGCUCGUGUUCAUCCCCUCAGUAGUCGCAUUUUUUGCAUCGGCUAUUUAUCUUGUUGCCGGUAAGAGACAGUCUUUCAAUAUUUUAACCAUUAGCAGAAGAAUUUGGAUCUUCAAAAUUGGGAGUCCAUUGGUUCUGCUCAAUCAAUAGGAUUUUGACUUUUUUGGACAAUAGUGGAUUUUUCGUUGAUUAUGAAAGAUUUUGACUUGUUGCUCGUUUGUUGAAGAGAUAGGGACGACUUGUUAAAUGAGGUUAAGAGAUUCAAUGACUCGUUAUCAGUUCCCAUAUAGUAUUUGUUAAACAGUUCCCAUGAGGAAGCUUAUGGGAGAAAGGUCAAGAGACAAUCUAAGGCAACAUGUCGUGAAAAAAACUUAGACAUCAAAACGUGAUUGCUGAUGUGUGGACUAUGAAUUUCCCAUUAAUUGUUCUUUUACAUCAUUGGUUAUUCAGUUCUACACCAAUCUUGCAUCCUAACUACAUCUAUUACUUUAAUAGCAGGGUUGAGUACUGGUACUGUAAAUAAAAGUCUGUCUAGUUUUCGCUUUAUCUAUGGUUUUACCCGUUUAGACUCUUCUCUCCUUGUUAAUUAUAUUGUUAUGCAUUCUUCUGCUGCUAAAGGAUAAGGCAACAUGCUAGGGUCCAAAUGAAAGAAAUAGAAUGUGAUUUCUGUGUGGAGGUUCUUCGUGAAAGAAAUAAGGUUUCUUAGUGAUCAAAAUUGGGGUGGGCCUCUUAUCCCUUGCCCUUGCCCUUAGGUUGUUCUCUCUUGUUCUUUGAAUAUACAUGUUUCUUAUCCAAAAAAAAAUAUUCUAACGGGAGAAUACUGCAUUGAACACACAAGAUUAAGUUGUCAUGUUAUUUAAUGGAAUGCAAACCUGAGGACAAUUUAUCCGGAGGAGGAAUCGUGCUAAUUUCUGCUUCUUAUCUUACCCCCACCCACAAAAGAGUUUAGUUUCCUUUUCUGUUUUUAAUUGAGCCCCUUGUGUUCUGAGUCACUUUUCAAAUGUUUUUCCUAGAAUUUUUUUUGGAGAAUUUAGAUUUAUUGACCUCUAUAGCUGCGUGGAUGCAUGUUAGUUUGUGUUACAACUCUACCUUAGAAAUAAAGCUAAGGAAAUGUUGUAUUCUUAACUUUUAGAUGGCUUGAUGAUCACAUAUUUAUUAUCAUGAUAAAUGCAAUCAAAUUUCAGGCAUUCCUCUGUUUGAAUUCUACAAUAAUAUUUAAUCUCUUCUUUUAAUUAAGCAUUGUUUUAAGGGUGCAAUUAUCAGGAAAGUUUUUGUUUUGGAUGUGUUUUAGUUUCUGCUAUCUACUCAAUCAAUUAACUUAGUUCCGUCAGGGACAUCAGAUAAAAUUGGAACAGUACUCAAUCAAUUAACUUAUAUUGCAGGCAUAGUUGUUGCUUAUUCUGCUCCAAGUAGACAUGGUUGCUUGAAGGUUGUUGAGAAUAGCUACUGUGCAUCCAGAAGAGGUAAAACCCUAUCUAAAGGCUGUUUCUUAUCAUUAAUUGUGGAUGUUUUAAAGGAAGGUAGGUAUGCUAGUUUAAAAUCUUUUAGAGUUUGGACUUUGGAGUUCACCUUGCUGCUUUUGUUAGAGGAUCACUUUCUAAAUGAAGUUUUAUUUAGGUAUUUGGUAUAUGUAGUUAUUUUUAGUUUCCUGGUUCCUCUAUUUGCUCCCCUCUUCUUGGAAAUGAUACCACGAAACUAUUAUUUUACAAGCUAGAGCCAACAACCUUGCCAUUUGAUUCUCAUGCAAUCUAAGCAAAUUAUUUUCCUGUUAAGUUAUAAUAAAUAGGAUAUAAUAAAAGUGUUCCGUAUGACUGUUUUUCUGUAGUUAGUAGCUUAGUUUUGUUUUGCUGAAUUUUUCAUACGUCAAUUGAAGCUACGUGGUUAAUUGUAGGUGGGGUUCGCUGUCUUACCAUCCUGAAUGUUGUUUUUGCCAUCAUCUUUGGCCUCUUGGCAUUAUUUCUUGGUUCAAGUCUUCUCACCUUGGGUGGCAGCUGCUCUGUUCCCCUGUUUUGGUGCUAUGAGAUCUCAUCAUGGGGUCUAGUUAUUCUCUAUGGAGGAACUGCUUUUUUCUUAAGGCGAAAAUCAGCUACAAUUCUCGGCGAGGGAGAUCUCGGUAGUAGAAACCUUGGCCUGGAAAUGUUGGUUGCAAAUCCUAUGGAAAUCACUCCUGAUGUGGAAAGGCGUGUCAAUGAAGGAUUCAAAGCUUGGAUGGGAUCUUCUCUCUUAUCCUCUGAUGAAGAAGAUGAACCUGAUAGCUAUGAAGAAGUAACAUCCCAUAUCAACCAUGCUAACUUUAACAACGGCCACAUUGUGUGAUACGAUUUUCCUUCGAUUCAGGUGAUGACAGGUAAAUUUUGGCACAUUGGAGAUCCGAUAGUAGCCAGUCACAGAAAUAUAUAGAUGGCUGUUUGUGGAGAUAUUUGAUACAACUGACCCGAUUACAAGGCUUGGAUGGAUGGUAGCGGGAGUUUUUGUUGAGAUUUGGGUUUUCCUUUGUCACCAUAAUCUUGAUAACUUGUGAAUAGAUUAUAGAACUUACUCAGCUAGUAGUUGUCUCCUUUUAGGUUUUAUUUAACAAUUUCUCUCUUUAACCAUCUUUUAUGGCUUUGUUUCAAUGUCUUGUGGACCUUUUCUAACUAUGAACAGAAAAUACAAAUUGUCCAACAAACACGUUGGUUUGUCGUACUAAUAGAUAAAUUCUUACCAAUUUAUUUUUCUUUCUUAAUCUCAUCAUUCCGCUUAUCAUUUUAACCUAAGUGGAUAUAUUCUAACAUUUUCGCUCUCUCUUCUAUUAUCUUGUCCAUUUAGUUUGACUUUUUAAGUGUUUAUAAAAAAAAAAACACUUCAAAACUCAAUUCAAACACUUGUGUGUUUUGUUAUUAUCUUUUAUUUUUUGUUUUUUAAGCCAAGUUAAUUGAAUUGGAUGAGGUCGAAUUGAUUGAUUGUUGUCUAAAUCCAAUCAGGAUGUGGUUCAUGUUUAGCUUUCUUUUGGUUGUUAUUAAUUUUUAAUUUUCUAAUUUCUAGUUUAAUUCUUGUAUUUUAGAAUUGUCUUUAGGAUUUAGAUAUUAUCCAAGUUACAGCUUUUAAUAAUUUUACCUCUAAUAAAUUUGUAAAUAUUGGGUUUUUGUCCAUUAGGAUGUCAAAUUUGUUUCAUAAUAUGUCGAUGCUUAUUGUUUUCUCAAGUAUAUGAUAUUUAAAUCAUAAAUCUUUUAGUCGUUAGUAUAUUUGUACAUCAAUUGAGUUAUAUUUACUUUAACAUAUGUUACUGUUUAUUGGAGGUUAACACGACAAAGUUUAAAAUCUAUUACACACUAAAGAUUGAUUAAACACUUGUUAAAUUUUGACAUUUAAUAUAUACCUAUAAACUUCUUAAUUCAACUACUGUUUUUAAUAAACUCGACUUAAAUUUUGAUUAAUGUAUUUCAAAUCAUGAGCCCAAGACGUAUAUCUUCGUCUAACAGUACUAAAAGAUUGUUAGUGCAAAAACUGUUAGCAUGCACUAUAGGACGAAACCAUAUGAAUAACAUCAAUACGAACAAGCUUGCUUUUACUUUCUUAUUGAUGAAUGAUUUUCUGUUUUGUUAAGAAUUGCAGGUACUACAGCUCUAGAAGAGUAUGGAUACUCCUACUCACUACUUAACGUAUUAAUAAAUUCCUUAAAAAUGUAAUAUUUGGGUGUAGCUCCAUUUCCAUGCAUCAUUUCAAUUACAAACAGAGACAAAAUUCUCUCAUUAAAUAUUUGGAUAGACUGCACUACAAUGAAUGUGUUUAGAUCAAAGAUUAUUUCAUAUUAUAAUAACCCAAGAGCUUUCCGAGCGAACAAGAAGAAGAGCCACAGCAGCAAGGGAUGCCACUGGCAGGGAUGCAACAACCGCUACGUGGGGUGGAAGAGCCGCCAACGGGGUACUUCCUCUCGUCGAUUACCUUCUUUCUCCUUCGAGAUCAGAUUCAGGUGGGGACUUUCUGCCUUGUGCCUCUUUGGUCGACUUUCCUUUGUCCCUUCGUUCCGGGAAUGGUGUGAUCUUUCUAUCAUCACAAGUAUUUCAAAGAAAGAACAAGAGAAAGGAGAUUGAGAAACUAAACUCGCUCGACCCAAGUAUGUGAACCCACAAUCACCCACACUAACCUUGCCAUUUGUAAAAUUAUUUACUUACUAGAAUAUUUACUCUAUUUUUUUAAAAUUAAAAUAGUUUAGAGGUGAAAAAACACUUAUUAUUAUAAUUCAAAAAAAGAAAAUUCACUUUAACAAAACUAUUGUCCAGAACAUCUAAUAUUAUUUAUUAUCAUAGUAAAAAGACUUUUACAAAAGUAACAAAAAAAAAUUACGAUAAGAUAAUCUAUAUCAUAACAUUUUUUAAAUUUGUAAAAGUAACAAAUUUUAGUGAUGAUCAUCUGAUAUAUGAUUACGAUCCGAUAGCAUGUGAUUAUUGUUUGAUAGUCACUAAUUUUGCCAAUGCUAUUAUGAGCUAUAUUUUAAAAAUGUUUCAAUGUAAUUUUGUUUGGUAUAAAAUAUUUACAAAGUGAAAAUGACUGUAAAAAUGAAGCCCCAAGGAUUGAGAAGAUAGUCCGUUCCUUGGAGAUAUUUUCGGUUAAAAACAUUGAAAUGGGCGCCAAAGGUUGAAGAAAUGAUUUGUUUAUUAAAUAACAAUAAUCAUUGCUAUUUUAGAAAAGGUAUAAAAGGCGUGUCCCGAAUCCUGACUUAAAAUGAAAUUGCGUUUUCCAUUUUACAAACAGUAGAGUGUGGGUUAUCGUUGUGUGAAGAACGGAAAACACUCAUGGCGCAUUGGUGGAAAACUGGAGGAUCUGCGAUCAAUAUUUUCACAUACACUUGGUCUCAACUUCUCUGGAUGCAGAUUUCGGUAAGUCUUUGCAGUUUCGAUUUCGAACUCCGUUUUUUUUAAAAACGUACGAGUUCAUCUUCGUGAUGCUGGUACUCGAUUAUUCGCCUUCUCUAUUUUUGAUUAAAUAAGUCUUCUCUGCUCUAUCGCGAGCAAACUCCUCGAAUAGGACUUUAGGAGGUUAGGUUCUUCAUUUUUUUCUUCUUCUUCUUGCCUGAUUCGUUUUUUUAUUUUGUUUUUUGAGUCUCGAUUCUUGAUUUAUUUUCUAUUUUCAACUUCGAAUCAGUAGAAAUUGAAAGUAAGUCUUCUCUGCUCUAUCGCGAACAAACUCCUCGAAUAGGACUGUAGGAGGUUAGACUCUUCAUUCUUUUCUUCUUCUUCUUGCCUGAUUAGUUCUUUUUUUUUUUUUUAAGUCUCGAUUCAUGAUUUAUUUUCUAUUUUGAACUUCGAAUAAGUAGAAAUUGAAAAACUAGAGUGAUGAUGUAGAUUUCUUGUGGCCUAUAAUUGAUGGAAAGAAAAUCGAUCGCAAUCAUCUUAUUUAUCAAGCCGUUGGAAACAAGUGCACGAUCCUUAUCGGACUUAUUUCUCUGUUAUUUUCUCUGAUGCAAUCGGAUUGAGAUCGAGUUUACCUCAUCUGUAAAACGGCGGAAAAACGGAAAGGUAUUUUACUGUAUAUUCAGGUGGAUGCUCUCCAUUUUGUAUCUUCAGAUCUUUUGUUGAUUUCAAUAAGUCUGAGUAUGGAAAGAAGAGGCAAAAUGUCAGUAUUUCUUCAAUUAUAUUUGUUCUGAACUUAUGAUAAAAUUGCUCAAUGUCAAUAGCAAUAAUAGACUUGAGACUUGUAUCAAAGAUAGUUUAUGAGAUUCGAUUAUCUAGAAAUAAUAACUUGGACAGUUUUUCUGAUUUUUCUAUCGAAAUCAUAAUUUAUAACUCUUUGAAAUGAUAUCAUAUGACUUUAUCAAAAUCCAUUAAGUUGUUCGUAUCACAUCUGAUAGAUUUUAAUUUUACUGAGUAAAGGCGGUGAAUAGAAAGAUUUCAAUUGAGGUGGCAUUACUUCUUGCAAGAAGGUUUUGAUUAAGCCUAAAUUGACUGAUAUCGCUAUAUUUAUAUAUUGCAAUUUGCAAGUCUUUUUUCAAUGUAUUUUUAAAUUUUGUCAAACGUUAUUAUGAUGCAGCAACAUUCAUUUGAUAUUUCAACUUAAAGGAAAAAACGAACUGAAAGUUAGACUCCGGCAUGACUGUCCAGAGAGCAAAUGGUGAAGAAUUAACAGGUAGUGAACUUCGACUUUUUCUUUUCUUUUUUACAUUAUUUGUUUGUUUUUAUUAUCUGAGUAAUUUAUGUAUUCAUUUUUCAUAAAAUGUAUUUAGUUUUAAUGAAAAAUAUUGCUAAAAACCUAUGAUUACUAAAUUCUUUGUAUAUUAUUUGAAUCUUUAUACUCUCUUGUUUAUAUUUUUUUGACGUAGGAACUUGACAUAUUUUGAUUGAUUGAGAUAUUAAUUAUGAUUUACAACAUCCACUAAAAGUAGGAUUUUGAAUUUACUCAAUUUACUAAACUACACAAAAUAUGUGUGAGUAUAUAUAUAUAAAGAGUUAUACGUUGUAGAAACUUGUUGGAAAUUUGAAAACUACGAGUAAAGAUGUAGAGAAAAGAUGAAUAUAAUUUUGAAAAAUGAAAUAGCAAAAACUAAAUAGUGAUAAAAUAAGACUAAGAUAAAAUGGGACAAUGUAAUAGUUAGUAUCAAUGAAAUUGAUUUAAAGUGAAAACUAAGUUUAUUUACCACCAAUUUAUAUAGUAAUUGGGUUGGGUUCUUAGCCCAAAGCUUUAAGUUAUUUAUAUGAUUUCAAAACUUGGUUUGAUUUUUAAAACCAUUGAUAAAAUGUAAGUAACAAAACAAGAAAGCAAGAACACAUAAAUGAAUAUAAAUGUUUAAGUGCUUAAUUUUAAAAAGCUAAAAGUAUAAAACAAAAUUAGUUAUUAAAGAAGGCAUUGAUGAUUAUCUACAUGCUAAUCAUACUUUGUGCAGGAAGAAGUAGCUGGCUUUGUAUGAGGCAAUGAGCACGAAUACAAGGGAAGAAAAUAGAUGCUGCAAAUGAUGAAGCUGAAACGGAGUUGUUGCAAUAAUGGUCGCAAAUUAAACAACAGUGAAGGUAAGAGCACUACGACAAUUUUCAACAAAAACACACAAUCAUUGAAAUAGAAUUAUAAAGCAUGCAAGGAUGAACAUGCACUAAAAGUUCAACGCUAAGUUAGAACUUAGAAGUUGACAUUUUUAUUUAAAAUAUUUGGUUGUCGUAUAAAGUUUAUUUUCAAGGAUAAAAUUCAAGUUUAAAUAUUACUUUUCGUUGAUAUUGGAUUUUUACUUUUAAAAUGUUUAUUUUAGUCAUCGUACAUUUUGAGAAAUAGAGUAAAAAUUGAACUUAUUUUCAAAAUAUAACAAAAUUUAACAAAUACAUAGUUACAAUUUUUUUUCUAUUAAUAAGAAUUCUCCUUUUAAAAAGUUGUCAUUUUUUAGAAUAAUUAUAUAAUAAAAAAACAUCCUACAACUUUAUAAUUUAUGUAAAAAAUAUUCUAACCUUUAGAAAAUGCUCUUAAACUUCAAAAAUAAUUUACGUUUAAAUGUACUUUAGGUAGACAUUUUAUUUGAUUAGUUAUUGUUAUAAAAUGAUUUAGGUAGAAAUUUGUAUUUUAGAAUCGUGCGUGAUUUUGUAAAAUUUCAUGUUUUAACUUAAAAAUUUUAUUAUUGAGAAUUUGUGUAAGAUUUGGAUUGAGUGUAUUUUUGAAUUUUUUUUAAGCUUCAUUAUUUUCAUAAAACUUUUCAAUAGGUAGUAUUGAAGAAAAUGAAGUUGCAAAAGUAUUUUAGAUUUUGAAGUGUCAAAAGUAUUUUAGACUUUGCAUUUCAUGGUUUCUAAGUAAUUUUAAUUUUAGUUUUAGUUUUGAUUCAUUUAUUUAUACUCCAAAAAUGUUUUUGUAUUUUGUAAUAUGUGACCAUGUGCAUUCAUUUUUAAGGAACGAAGAAAUGAAUAGUUUUUAAACCAAAAGACGAAGAACUAAAAUUAAAAAAUGUGUAUUUAUCCUUUCUUUUUGGGACAAUUUUAUUGUAAAUAACAAAAUUACUAAAAAUUAUAUAAUAAAAUUUUAAAUUCUCAGUGAUAGUACUAUAUAUUUUUUUUAUCAAUACGUGGGCUGAUUACGUUAUAUUUAAAAAUGUCGGAUUCUUUUCUUUUAUCUGGAAAUCUAUGAGCCAACCGGUAAAAAUGGUUAAAGUGGGUGAUUUGCGUUUGCCUUAAAAAUAAUAGUGAAUACAUCUUUUCUCUUUUAUCUGUUGAAUAAAGAAUACAUUGGCUACACCAAGAAGCGUAAUGCCACUCCCCCAUAAGUUUUGUCCUUUCUUUUCCCGAAAAUGAAACAAUUAAAAAGAGAUAUAUAGAACAAAAUCAUAAACAUACAUUUUGUAAAAUAAAUUAACUAGAGAUCAAACUAUGUAUGCUAUUUGCUUACUAUCUGCAUCCUUUCAAUAAAUAUGAAGAGGGGCUGGAGAAGCUCCUUGUCGUCGCAGUAGAGGAUUUUCCGUUUUCAGUUCCUUUGCCAGGUGUUCCACAUUCGCUGAAGUCAAGAGUCCGUCGUUCUGUCUGCAAGAAUUCCGAAUUAUUCCAAGGUUAGUCAUCUUCAUUUAUUUAUUUAUUGUUUUAUUAAUGCUCAUUUAACAACUAUUUUUUGUUGUUUCAUUCCAAAUUUUCAAUUUUUAUUUUCAUGUUUAAACAGUUUUAAAACUACUUCUUAGUUUUCUUUUUUUUUUUUGAAAAUUUUGUAAAUUGUAGGUAGAUAGGAUAUUUAUAAGCUAAAAUUAAAAAGAAAAGAAAAGAAAAGUUCGCAAAUAGCAACCUUAAACACAAAUUUAUAUCCUCGAGAAGGAAAGUAAAAGAAAAUUUUACCUCAAGUGUUAAACCACAUUUCUAAAUAUUACUUAACAGUUUUCAAAUGAAUAAAUUAAAAUAGUUACAAAGUAUAGCAAAAUUUUAGAUUUUCUAAAAAUAUUUAUGAACUAUAGCAAAAUUUUAGAUUUUAUGAAUGAUAAAAAGUACUAUUAUUGUCUAUAAAUGAUACUAAUAGAAUAAUAUUAUUAAUGUCUAAUAUUGAUAUAAUAUGAAAAUUGUUUGUCAAAUUUGUUAAUUUUUACCAUUUUUCUUUCAAAUUCUAUUUUUUUUGAAUUGGUUUAGAUAUGCAUUGGGUGCAUUAGAAGACUUUCCAUAUGGUCUAAAUGAGUGUUUGUAAAUAAUGUUUAUAACCACUCCUAAUUUCAAUCCAAAUGUGCAAUAGAUCUAUUUAAAAGCUUUUAAUAAAAUUGAAUUGUUUUAAAGAAUUCAUUUUGACACGUUUUUUUAAGCCUAUAUUGGACAAUAAUUUUCGGUUUCAAUAAGAAAUUUAUUUAAAAAAACUUGUAGAAUGGUUAUACAUAGAAAAAGAAAACUUAAUGGUACUGUAAAGUUUUUUUUAAUAAAUUUUAUAAAUAGUUUUGCUAUUGUUAAAAAUAUUUUAAUUAUUAAAAAUACAUUUUAAAAAGUAAAAGUACAUUCCCUAAAUUUGAAGGCUUAUGUAUGUUUUAUGAAAAUCUAAAUUUACAAAUUCUGUCUUUAAAAAAUUUCUUCGUAAUUUUAAAUAACAAAAAAUUAAAUCAGUUAACAAAAAUAUCUAUUUUUAAAAAAAUAUUUAGUAUCAAACAUGUCCUAAAUAAUUCAAAAAUAUUCUCAACCAAAGAACGGGUGUAAAAAAAGGUUAUUAUCCAGAAGCAAUUUUCUUUUCUUUCUUUUCUUUUCUUUUUUUUUUGGUGAAAUCCAACGACAGUUUUAAACAAUACAAAAACAAAGUGGUCGAUUCAGUGGGGAUUUAAAUAAUGACGUAGUAUUUUUAAAUGUCAUGACUUGAUUUGACAAAAAUAACACAAAAUAUGCUUUGUCAAAGAUGUUAGGACAAAUUUCUAUUUUGUCAAUUUAUCAUGGUGUACUUGUUAAGUUUGGACAAUUGUGCAAGUGUUAUCCAAUUUUCUCAAAUUCAGAAAAAGUAACGGUGCGUAGCCUAGUAUGUGCAGGCAUAAAGGUAUUUUAAUUUAAAUCAAUAAUUUGUUUCACUUUCUUAUAAUGAUAGAACACGCUACAAUCUAAGGUGAAAAAUAAUUUUUUUAUCUUUGAGGUUUCAAAAUCAGCCUAAAUCCUGCCUUUGCUUUUAAUUUAGUCCCUAAAUUUUAAAUUUUAUAAUUUUUGUUUAAUAAUCACUUUAAGUGAUUAUCGUUUAUUAAUUAACUAAUUAUAAAAUAACAAUUUUUAAUUUAUUUUAAUAGUAAUAAAAAAUAGUAAAUUUUAGUUAAUAAUAAUAAUUUAAAAUUAAUUAAUUGAAACUAACCUUACAAAUAGAAAGUAAGUAUUUUAGUGAAAAUUUAAAAUAAAAAAUAUGAACCUUGGAACCUAGAGAACUCAAAUCUCAGUGUCGAACCAAUUUAUGGUGGUUUGGCUGGAUGUUAAAUUUGAGUUUGGUUUUUUCUUCUAGUAAAGUUGUAAAAAAUAGAAUAUUUAACUCGGGUAAAUUUGUUGUAUGAAUGUAAAUCAUUUGUAAAAAAAAAAAAAAAAAAUCUUUUCUCAAAAUUUAUAAAUAUAAAUAUAAAAACAAAUAUAUAUAUAUAGUAGGUAAAAUGGUCAAUUUCGAUAUUGGGAGUAAUAAAUUUUUUAAUUCGAUUUGUGCUAUUUGAAUGGCCAAACAAUGAUAAUAAUAAUGAGGGGGGGGAGAGGAACGUACCAAUAUAUCGGGAGCCAAGGUGGAACGGGAGUUGGUAAAAUGAUUGUUCUUGUCGUUGUUGUGAUUCUCAUAUUUGCCACGUCUUCCUUUCAAUAAGGAUUGUGGAGUUUCAUUUCCCAGAACCUCUUGAGCAUUCGCACACGCAGCCGCAGUCUGUUCGCUUACCUCUUUCAUCAGCCCUAUUGCAUCGUAGCUUCUAUCCCCUGGGCUCAUAAAUAAUCCUACUUCCUGCAUUUAAACUCCAACUAUUACAAAAUCUAACAAUACAAAAACUCUAAAAAUAAAUACAAAUUAUGUUUCAAUUACAGCUUUACUUUAGUUCUGCGUCAUAUAAAUUCAUCAUAAAAUGUUGAAUAUACUAAAGACCUUAACAAAACAAGUAAGUUAUAGUGUUUGGCAAGUAAUGAUAGAUUUUUGUAAUUAACGAUGAGCAAGUUGGUUUUAAUGUUUGGCAAAUAAAUAAUAAAUUAUCAUGUUUUAAAUAUAAUACUAAAAUAGACAUAUUUUAUAAGAAAAUUGUUAAAAAGAAAAAAAUUAGCAAAAUAUUUACACUUAAUUAUAAGGGUUUUUUUUUAAUAAAAAAUUGAAAACAAAACCAUUAAAAAAAGCAUUAAAUAUGUUGUCAAAUAUUUAAUUUUUGACAAUUUCUCUAAUAAAAUAAUUAUCUAUGAAAUGUAGGUAAUUUGUUUUUCUUCUUUCUAUUUUUGAAAAAAAAAUCUCAUUUUAUACGUAUAUAAUUUUUCACCUUAAAAAAAUUGUUUAAAAUAAUAAUUCUUUUUGUUCUAGAACAAUUUUCAAAUAUUGAGGAAAAUAGCUUUAACUUUAUAUGGGAAAAAAAUCAAUAUGAUAUUUUUUAUAUAAAAAAAAAUGGAUGCACUCAACUGAAAAUUAUAAUAUAUAUAUAUAUGUAUACAUAUAUAUAUAUAUGUAAAAAAUCUUAAUUUUAAAAGAUUAAAUUUAGGAGAUUAAAGAUAUAAUAUUUUAGGAGAAUUCUAAAAGCCAUUUUAAAAGAAGGUUUGAAACCAACGUAUUUUUAAAAGUAAUUCCAAUCUGUUUUAUUUAAACCAAAAAAAAAAAAAUUAGUUAAGAUUUUUCUACAAUUUUGAUUGCAACCCUAAACGCACCCUAAAUCUAUAAUUUAACCAAAACUAAUUGUAGUAAUUACCUCCAUUGGUACAUCAGUAUCCAUUCUUGAACCAAAUAGAAAAGAAUUGAUGAACCAAGGCGAUUUCCAUGCUGAAGGAGAUUCGAUGCUUCUCUUGAAUGGAGUUCCACCAAAUCUGGAAACAACAUCGUCAACUGAGAAGCCAUAGAGAAAAAGUCGAGGAAAAUAGCAGUAACCAAUUACCGAGGUUUAGACGCAUGGAUAAAAGGAUAGAUCUUUUAUGGUGAAAAGUAUAAAUUUUCUAAAGAUAAUGAUGCUAUUGAACUACUGCCAAAAUCAGAGUGGAAAAGUUUUGGCAGGAGUAAAAUUGGGGUUGUGAAAAGGAUUAUUUGCCGUAACUUACAAUAAAGUAAAUCUUACAUGGUUAUGGUUUCAAGAGAGGACUCCUUUGAAGCAUUAUCACCAGCAACCUCAAGAGUUCUUCCAUGGCACGUUCCACUGGCAAUAGAACAAUUUGCAAGUGCACAAUGAUCGUCAGAUAAGUUUGAAGGGAAAUCCUGAUCUUGUAGAGAUGUUGAGGUUCUACUACACUGCAUUUCAGCAACACCAUCACGAUUUGUAGAAUACGAGAGUGACUCGUUUGUGUCACACUCAAGAAGGAUGCGUGAACGCUGUUGAACCUCCUGUGUAAUGAAAAGAGGUUUGAAGGGGUGAUGAUUCUAUGAGUUAAUCAAAAAUAAUUUUGAGUAGAAGACAAAGAAAACGACUCACUAUUUGGCCAAUAGAAUCGAUACGCUCGUUUGCCGCGGGAUUAUCCAGUUCUUGCAUUUUCUUCUCCUGGAAACUAAAGCUAUCUGAAGUUCUCUCUGGCCGUUUGCAAUGCGAAAUGUUGUAAAGAUCGCUAUGCUUCUCUUGCCUCACUUCUUCUGCAGGACAUAUAUUUUCCUUAUCUUCAGAGCUUCUAGAAUUGACUGUCUGGUGUGAUGGAUUAGUAUGAGAUGGUGUUCUACUAAUGCCAACAUCAAUCUCUUGCUUCUUGUCGCAUCGUUUAUCUGAUAGAGGAGAUAAGAACUCCCUAUGGCGUUUCUUCAAGAUUGAUGGAGUAUUAGUGAAAGUCUUAGCAGCACUUUUCAACAGAGCAUCGGGACUUUCAUCACGGGUAGGUGAAUUCCAUAGCCUAAAUGGAGUAAGACAGUUAAUAGAAGACAUCAUAAGUUGACGGAUACCAAGUGGACUAUAUUCCUGCUGCAUAUCACUGGCGGCCGGUGCAAGAUCACAGCUAAGGAAUGGAACAUCCAAACUUGGAAACCGAGGGGGUUCAUAACAAAGAGCUCCGAUAAGGUCCGGUUGAUCUGGAUGUGUUUUCUCUCUUCCACUAAAUGAAGGCAAAUUUUCUGCAGUUUUAGGUUCUGAACUAAAUGUAUUUACAGGAACCAAUUUUGAUGGAUCCUUUGAACCCUGCUGCUUUUGGAGUUCUGCGUUCAUGAAACCGUUCUUGGAAGGUGAGUCGGUGGAUUCAUUGGUGUAGAUAAAGCCAUCAUGUCCAUUUGCUACAAGCUCUUGUUCGAGAGUUUCAAAUAAAUGACUUGUGUCACUAGUAUAUACAUAAGUAUCAUCAUUAGCAGAAACCAAGAGAGGAGCUAGAAAGCGUUGUGAACAUGAGUUAUCCAGAACAUCAGAUCUCGCAUGGUGAUACGAUUGCAAUGGUAUGUUUCUAUUACUUUCUGGCAAUUCGAUGCUCGUUGAUUGACGGUGCAAAGGGUGUGCAUAUCCACUCAGUUCAACCAUGUCCGAUGUAUUUAUUGUAUUUUCAGAAGGAAAAGAUUCAUUGACUACUGCAUCUGAAAAAAGGACCGUGCAACAUUCAUAAUCAGAAAUCAGCAUAUGUUCAGGUUUAACUGAAGCCGUAGCCAUAUUGUCGGCGGUAGAUGCACUAAAUCCAGCAGAAGUUUGAUGUGGAGCAGUUUCUACUUCCUGAGAUCCAUUUGCUUGAAAGUGUGGUAACUCAUGACCUAAUUCCAGUGAAGAAAUAUUUGGUAACUCGUACAAAUUAUAUCGAUUAUCUUCAGUUGAUGAAGUUCUGCAAUCCUGUGAGAAAUUGUGGUUAGGGGUUUUCACGUAGCAACCCAAUUCACUGAGCAUUUCAGGAAUCGAAAAGGUGAUGUUGUCCAAAGACGCAUGAUAUUGCCCCGGACAAUGUGGUGGUGAGCAUGGUUCGUCUUUUAAAAAAGCAUCUUCAGCCAAUUGGCAUUCCUCUUUUGUGCGUGGAAUUGUAUUGGAGCAAGCACCAAUAGCUGAAGUUUGACUGACUUCAGAUAUGUCCUCUGUUUCUGCCCCCCUGAGACUGCUAUCAUCCAUACUGCUUUGCACCCUUGAGGAUGAAAGCAUGGGUAAGCUUGAUUGUGAUGCAUGAUGCAGGGGUUGAUACUGUUCGAGUAAACCGGAUGCCAAGUAAGAUUCCAAUUUCUUUUUCACAGAACUAUUCCAGUGGUUCUUUAUAGCAUUGUCUGUCCUGUUGACAAUCAAAUAUACAUCACUCUAUGGGUAUCUUAGCAGUGCUGAAGAUAAAUUCAAAAUAAUGAAGCUCUGUAAUGCACUAAAGUAAGUCACUACCUCAAUGAACACGAAGAAUCACACCGAGAAUUACAAGCAAUAUGUGAGUAUUAUCCCAUAACAAAGAAGUGCUUGGGGAAAGAAAUAUACUGAAAAUUUGAGCAUCUGCUUACCUGCCAGGCAAGAACUUCGUUAGCUCUGCCCAUCUAUUUCCAUAUAUUUGGUGAGCACGAAUAAGUGCCAACUCUUCUUCCUGUGUCCAUGCCUCCUUGUUUAUGGCAGGAUUUAAAUGAUUGUGCCACCUGAUUAAUUGAAAAGUUAAAAAGUUAAGUUAAUUGACAAAAUCGAGCAAUAAACGCUCCCACAACUCAAUAAAUUAUUGUAUAUGUAAAACAAGGCCUUUAGACUUUUGUAUUGACACAUUUCAACACAGAUAACCUCAGGAAGUCGAAUACUAAAGACGCCAUCUCAAGAAACUUCAAAUCAUACCUUUCCCUACAUUGCUUACCAAUGCGUCCAGGUAAGUGUUGUGCUAUAGUGGACCACUUCUUUGGUCCAUACUUUUCCACCAAUUCAACAAUUAUUUCAUCUUCCUAAAACAAAUUCCAAAAUGAUUCAUAAGUUCAUUGAAAAAAAGUGCAUUAUGCAUCCAUUGAUAUGCUUAUAAAGUGACAGUCAAUGUAAGGAAGAAUUACUGUCAAGGACAGACAACCUCUUUAGACCAUGGACCUUUGACAAGUUCUGGAUUCAAAACCUUCUGCCACCUAUGUAGACAUUGCACAUCAGUUCGAUCCUUGAAGCAUUCCGCUACAUACAACCAAAUAUGAGAUCAGGCGUAUGGCUUAUAGAACAUCGAGCUACGAGGAUCAAUAAAUUUCCAUUGAAUUGCAAAGAAAGCAAGUAUCGAUGCACAAUCAUGAGCAAGUAAGUACGGUUUCCAUUAAUACCAAUUGUCAACAUUAAAAUAUCAAUAAUCUAACAAUUGCAUGUGACCUCCAAUAACUAUUUGCAAUAAUGAUUCAGAAUGAUUGUACAUAAAAAAAAAAUCACCAUUACCUAUUUUCUUCCAGUUCUUGCCUUUGAAACGUUGGACUGCCUUCCGCAAGAUUUCAUCCUAAUCACAUAAGAAGUUUAUCAUUUAGAUUAAGUCUAUGAAGAAAACCUAACACGAUUAAGAAAAUCUCUUCAGCAUGAAAAUAUUUUAAAGAAUCAAAGUGAAUGUGUGUUUUGUCUGCAUCAUAAUAAACGAAAGACUUUUAAAAGAGGAAAAUGAAAAUGGUUAGUUACCUCUUCAGCUGUCCAUUGGCCUUUGGUGGAGCGUCUAGUAGGACCAGUUGUUCUUCGGCUAGAAGUUGUUCAAUCAUAAGCACAAAUUUGGAUAAAUAAUAUGGCUCUAAAUCUCUCAAUCAAACUAAGUUUUAACACAAGGAGUGUUGAUAAAACGAUAGACUGUUAUGAUUGGAGAAGAAGUUACGAAACUAGAAGAGAUUGGGAGAGAGUUGAUAAAUAGAUGAACAUGAUGUUGAAUCAAAAGAAUGUAGAUGAUUUUCCAACAGAAAUUACCUAUGCAAAGCUCGAAUAUUCUGACCACUGUCACCAGACACAUCUAAAGAAGUACAAAGCGGAGGAUCACUUUCCAUAGUUCUUCGUCAAGCAGGUAAAGCUGCAUAGCCCAACUCCUACUCCACUGCAACUCUCUCCCGAAUAUUUCCUCAAAAUCAUUCUACUCUUCCAAAGAAGAGCCAACGAUUAGUUCUCAUCCGAAAAUCCGAUGGACUGCAGAAACACGACAUACAGGAGAGAAUUCGUCAGACACAAAUCCUCAGUUGUAGUAACAGAAGAUAGUAUAAAAUCUUUAUAACGGAAUCAUUGUCUCAAACCAUUGCAAUUAGAGAUCUAGAGUUUCAAAUUCCAAAGAUGAAGAAGAAACCACAAGAAACCGUGGCUUAGGUUUCAAAAACGCAUUUCCGCUUAUAUAUAGUACAAACCAAACUCGACUGAAGCUACUCUUACAAAUUCAAAAUCAGAAGGAACCAAAUUAUUAAUAAAGCUCUAUCGGACACGACCUAGAGCUAACCUAAAGACUAACCUAAAGAAAUACUCCAGAAAUCAAAAUCCAAAUCAGAAUUAAUUCAACCAGAACGAAAAGAAGUAGAUACAGAACUUCGAUAAAAAGAAAAUCCGAUUAAACAGAUUUCAAAACCAGAAACACAUCGAACUUAAAAAUUCAGUAGAAAAAAGAACGAUUCGCCUACUUCACUUACAAAAAAGCGAAAUGCAGAUGAACAGGCUGAAGAUGUUCAAAUCUUCGCUAUUGAAAUCGAUCAACACCUCGAGCAAGAGCAGAUCCGAGAGAGAAGAUGCAGGUGAGCGAGAGAGAGAGAGAGAGAGAGAAAUAGAGAGAGAUAGAGAGAGAGAUGAAGAAUGAGUGAGAUCAGAGAGAAGCCAUAUUCAAAUACAAAGAAGGCGGACUGGGAGAUUCAAACCCUAUGGUUAAAGUCAAUCAAAGUUUUUUGAAAUUAGUCGAUUUAACGCCUAUGGAGAGAAAUGCCCAUUUUUGUACCUAAAAUCCAACCGGUUCUUUUCGAAAAAGUUCAACUUCAACGGGCAUUUUCAAUUAUCAUCUUUUUUUUCCAUUUUUCCAAAUAAUAAAAAAAAAAAAAAAAACGUAACCUUCUCUAAUUUUGUCCAAACGUCUGUUCAUUACAAUACUAAAAAUCUCAUUAAUUUAAGAUUAAAUACAAAAUUGUUGCCUGAACUUCUUUUGUAAUGACUAUUUGCUAUUUAGCCCUAAAAUUUGAAAUUUUUAAUUACAUUAUUUUUUUACAAUUGAUUUUAACUAAAUUAUAAAAUUUAGUGGGUUUUUUUUUUCUAUACAUAAACAUUUUUAGGUUAAACUAUUAAACUAUUAAACUAUUCAAAUUAUUUGUAUAUUUUCAUAUAUCUCCAAAAGUUUUAAUGUUAUCCUUAAUUUUUUUAUAAGCAAGCGUCUUAAUAUUACUUUUAAGGUAGUUCUUACAAAAUUUGAUUGGAAAUUAGGACAUGAAAAUGAUGUGACGUUAACAUAGAACAAAAAUUUGGAUUGUCAACACAUCGUAAAAACUUUACAAAGUAUUGAAAUGUUUAUCAAAACUUGAAAGGGCUACUUGGGAAGCUCUUUCAAGUUUUAGGACUCUUUGAAUACAUAAGUAACAGAAAACAUAAUGGAAAUAAGGUCGUAAACAUAGAAAUUGUUGAAAAGAUGGCUAAGUAUAAAACCGUUAGAAUGAAAAGAAUCAAGUAUAUAAGUAUGUCCAAAAUUAAUCGAAGAUCAAACAGAUGUUGCAUCUAACAUCAUGCAACCCUCCUAACAUAUACUAAAAAGAAGAUCAUUCUUCACACGAAUUUUAAUUAACUAAUCGAUUGUAGGUGCAAUCAAACCAGCACCUAAAUAUAUUUUAUUUUACAAUACACUAUAGAAGUUAUCGACUAUAAGUACAAUAAAUAUAGGGCGAUGAUUCGGACAUACAUUAACAGUGAUAUUAUAAAUAUGUGUAUAUAUAUAUAUAUAAAGAAAAGAAAAACAUUUAGCUUAUUUUGGAGAAAGGAAAAGACAAAAAGUACAUAGGGCACCAUUAUUUUGGGGGCAUUUAUUGAAUUCAGUUUUAAAUACUUAAACUAAUGCUUCAAUUUUCAGCUAUUUUCUAGUUUUGGUUGAUAUCGAUUAUUUGCUUUUGAAAUAUUUAUUUUGAUUUAUAUAUUUUUAUUUUUUAGUAAACUGACUUAUUAGUAUAAUAAAAUAAUUUAUUUUAAAUUAAGAGACCAAAGUAAAGAAAUUGAAAAUAAACUUUAAUAAAGAAAAACAAUUAGAAUAAUUUGAAAACAUACAACUAAAAUAUAUUAUAGUUUAUUUUAAAGUUGAAAGUAAAUUAAGAUGAAUACUUUGGAACCAUAUGACCCAAAGCCAAAAAGAAAUAAAAUAAAAAACAGUAUCUGAGCUCAGGUCAGUCGAACUCUCAAAUACAUUUUUAAAAAAGUCGAACAUUUUAUAGUUGUUUACAUUAAAAUUUUAUCAACAAUAUCUAUAUUUCUAAAUUAAAAAGUGCAACGACAGAGAACGAAUUACAUGAAAAUUUUGAAAAAAGAUGUUGCCAAAUUUUGAACAACAAAAUUAAAGUAUAAAAACUUAAAAUACAAAAAAGUACAUUAGAAUUAUGACGACUUUUUUCACCUUUUUUAUUUCCGAUAGGGGCUUUUGCUCAAAAACAAACGUGGCUUCCAAAUUUAAAAAGGGUAUAGAUUCACAUUCACAUACACCUUUGAAUCUUCUCGGUCACUUUAAACUCAUUCAUUACUCACUGGGAAUUCAAAAAUAGAUCUGUGAAUAUAUUGCAUCGAAGUGUAGAAAGACAAAUUAGUAAAACCUAAAAUUCAAAAUACGUUAAUAUAAUUUAAAGUCAUUACUAACUACGCCGCCACUUCUUUUUGGGAGCCUCACUUUAGUGGGAACCACUUUUGUUUCUAACACGCAAAUUUUUUUAUGAUUGAUUUUGGAAAACUUGGGAGGUGGGGAAAGAUAACUAGAAUGGUUUGGUUAGCUUGUUAUGUUCAGUUGAUAGAAGAUGAGUAAAAAAUGAAAAAGGACAACCUAAACUAAACAUGAUACGAAGUGCUUCCCCGGCCUCCAAAUUCUUUGCAUUGCGGAAAAAUUGUAGCAGAGCCCGCCAUAGAGAUAUAAGCUAUAAACCUUUUUAAACCUUUUGAGCUUUGUUAGGGCGACCUCGAUGGUUGUCAUGCCCCCUCGAUCGUCCAUGCUUUCCACCUCGAUUGAAUUUGCCACCCCUAUGGAUAGAGCAAGCAGGAGAAAACCAUAGGAAGAUUAUGAAAGAGACCAAGAGAAAGAUCUCGUGAUAGAAUAGUAACAUAUACAAAUAACACUAAUAGGUUAGAUUACGUUUGAUAACCUUUUUGUUUAACUCUUCUUUUAAAAAAUCAAACCAAAGUUUGAAAACUAAAAAAUAGAGUGAUUGAUAAUCGUUUUUUGUUUUUGAAAAUUGUGUUUGCUUUUUUAAAAACCUGAUUUUGCUUUCAAUUUAGAUUAGAAUUGAAAUGUGUGUUUAUGAAGAAGGUAGAUACAACAAACAAAAUGGCUAUCAAUAGACGCUAAUACUUAGUAAUGUAGUGAGCAAACCUUCCACGGUUUCCCUUAAAGUCGCGAUGAUGCUUCUCUUGGUUGCUGCGGAGUAGACUCCAAUACUCCUUCUCAGCCUCACCUGAAAUAAAGGAUUUCAACCAAAGUUGUAAAAAGGAGAACAGAAGAGUAAUUUCAAUUUCAUCAAAUAUGAAGUCAUCCAAGAGCAUUGACAAAGACGAUGAAUAUUAUAACUUCAUAAGUACGCUUCCUCUCCCCAAGUCAAUUAUAUAAAGUUAUGGAAGGAAUAACAUGAAAUUACAAAAAGUCAUUUACCAGCAUUAACGAUUUUCAAAGUUAUUUGCAGAUCGUGAAACAAAAUAAACAGGAAAAAAGAUGCAACAGAUUCCAAAGAGUGGAGAGUUGGUAGAAUUCCAAAAGUUUAUUAACCAAGAAAACAGAGACAAAUAGAGCUACUAUCACUAUGUACAAUUUUAACUAAUUUUAAAAUACACCAUGCCAAUUGAUGUUGCUAAUAGAUCUUUUCAAUCAAGACCGACAAUAGAAAAACACCUAUAGAUAUUACUUUACUCAUUGCUCAAAGAACAGUGAAAUUUUGUAUUAUACCUGACACUGGUUCUAAAGUGGCUAUAAAAUUCUUCACAGCCAGUCCCCCUUGCUCAGCUAGUACUGCAGACGCACGAGCUUUCUGGGCAGCUUCAGGCUCCUCAAACCUUAUAUAGCCCGACUCGUCUCCAAUCUUAAAAUCAAUGAACUUGACAAUUCCAACCAAAUAUGAGAGGGGAAAAACACGUCAGAGUGAAUAAGAAAUAAACAAAGUGAAGUAAAAAAAACAUGAAAAGCACAAACCAAAGUAGUGAAUCUAGCCAAAGUGAUAAUUCGAAAAAAACAACAUAAUAAUAAAAAAAGAUCUCCCCUCACCACACGCACACAUCAUUAAGGUAAAAUUCUAGGGUAGAAUGAGUGAAAUAAAACAAUAAUAAUGCAAGAAAAACUAGUGAUGUAAAGCACAAACAGAGGAGAAGAAUAACUAAUAGAUAAAGUAGAGAACAAAAAAAAUUCAAAAUAAAUCAUAUUGAAACGUUCCAUAGAGCAUAGUACGAGGAAGAAACUAUGAGAUACCUUAACACUUCCAAACUUCCGAAAAACAGCCUUCAAAUCCUCACGCGAAACAACAUUCAUAUUGUUCCUAGAUUGAAAAGCUGUGGGUUUUUCUUCAGCCUCUUCAUGUUCAUCUACGGUAUCGUCCAUAGACUGUUCUUCCACCUCAAGACUUUUUUCAUUGCCAGAAUCAUUUUUCUCCACAGCCUCUCCAUUCUUAUCAUCAGCACUUUCCUUAAUUUCUUCAUCUUUACUCAAAUUUGUUUCCUCUAUUUGCACAGUUUUCUCAGAGUCAUUCUUUGAGGAGUCUAGCCCUUCAUCUGUUUUGCAUUCAGUCUUAUCAGCUACACCAUGAGAUUCAUUUCCCUCAGCAGUACUUCCAGAUGACGUGCUUUUCAAUGUAAAGGCAACAAUUAAGCCUUUAGGGUAGCUGCAAUGAAAAUCCAUAAGAUCGAUCAUGUGAUGUGGAAAGAAGAGAAGUGUAUGGCUAAAUAUACUACAGAUUACUACCAGUGUCCUACAUACCUUGCUUCUGGGGAACUAUUAUUGUUGCUGCGGUUGGCACCUGAGGUUGAGCGUGAACUUUCAAACUUCUCCAUCUCUUUUGCUCUCUCCUCAUCAAAUUCCCUCCUGAAAUGGAAAUAAUCUUUACAAACGCAGUUGACUGAUAUGUCGAAGGGAAUAUGUUAUGAAUGUUUAAACUUUACAAAGAAGCCUGGGUAACCAAUACACUUUCGAAUAGAUAUCAAUUAGAAAAGCAAUUUUAUAAAAAAUAUCAUCACAUUUCACAAAAGAAAAUUAGGCUUCCACCUUUCUAGAAGAUAUUAAGGAUCAAAGUUCAAACACACAUGAACGAUGGGUGAAAGAAUAAAUAUUGAACAACCAACUAUUCUACAUAAUACAGAAGUAAACCUACGGAUACAUCCUAAACAUAGUAUGGAAUCUGGCAGUUAUCAUUUAGUCAGCCUAUAAUGGUUUUACCAAUGAGCUUCUCAAAAAGGACAGAAGAAGAAAUCAAAGAACAUGCAAAUUCAAUUGAUUAUUGCUUACAACAUUUAGAAUGGUUUUAGAAUCAUUAAACUUAGUUAAAUUUAAGAUUGCAACAA
rnacentral:lncRNA from 1 species